UAGAAAAAUGUGUCAACACGUGGAAUAUCAAAUAAGUAUACCAUGGAAAUACAUAUAUCACGAUGGAUUUAAUAAAAACUACUUCCUCCGUCCCAAACAAAUCUACACAAUAAAACGUGUCUAAAUAGACAAAGUGCGAUACUUAGUUUUUCUUCAAAAAUGCAACCCCACGAGUGUAUCAUCAAUCAAAGAAGAAGGGCUGGAAGGCCAGUUACAACGCCGCUGAGCGGCUACAAUGCCACAAAGUGGCAAAACACAAAAAGUCUACGGGGCAUCGAGCAACCCACUCGCCAUAGCGGCCUAAAAGACAAUCCAUCCGUAAAAAGCUCCGGCGCUUUCCCACCGCAGCGCCUCCUCGCGGAUGGUCAGGAGCACUCUUUGGACCGAAGGAUAAGCGCCAUUGAAGACCACAUCGUUGAGGUGACACCAAAUGGUCCAAAAGACGAGAGAGAACGUCGUCAGGAGGCCCAGUGAUGGCGGCCCACCAGGUUGGAGAUCAGAGUCCGCACUCGAUCGCCAGCCCCCAUGAUUCCACGCGAUGAGAAGAGGCUCCCAAAUCUGCCUGGUAACAACGCACCCCAACAAGAGGUGAGUAAUAGUCUUCGGCACCUUAUCCCGCAAAGGAUAGUGAAGUGGGUGUGGAAGGCCCUCCUCUACAACGGAUCCGUAAUCCAACAACAAUUCUUUGCCGCCAGCCAAGCAAAUACCUCCCAGAUUUGCAACGUGAUACUUAUUUUGGAAAGAGGUAGUAAUUUGGAGUCAUGGAUGUUGAUAGAUUUUUCUGUAACUUGGUCAAAGUUUAAAAAGUUUAACUUAGGACUAAAAAAACUUCUUACAAUUAGAAACGGAGAAAAUACCUCUCAGGUUCCCACGGUGGCCUAGUGAUGCAGACUGAAUUGGCAGGCAUAAUGUUGAUUAUGAUUAUCAUGUUAGCUCAAUGGUUUACCGUCAGGCUAACUAAGUUGUCGUGGUUUCCUUUUCAAAGACCAUCUAGGAUGUCAAGUGGGAUCCCACCAAUACCCCAUUUCUAGUACAAAUUUUCAAUUUUAGUUAAAUUUCUCAGCCAAAAUUUUGAACUAACAAAUCCCAAAUGAACUGAAAUUGUGACUUAAAAUAGGAUAUCACGGGUCAUCAACACUAAACCCUAAUCAAUAUAACUCUCUUCCAAGCGACAAAAAAUGUGUUGGCGAAAAAGAAAAGGAACGAUGAACGAACUCAAAACAAGUUUCCAUUCUGUCAAAAUCAAAGAAAAUAAGACACAGAACAUGUGCAUAUCAGGCCUACGGGGCCACACAGACAGAGGUUACAAAGUUCCAAGCAGAAAUAUCUAAGAUAAAAUGAAGCACUGGAAAGCAGAAAAAAGUUGAUUUUUCUUGUUCCGUUUCUGACAAGUCUGAUGCGGUACGGGAGACAGGGAAGCUACACUUGAUGCUCGUUUGUUCUUUGUCAGGUAGGUAGCAACAAAUUCCACGUCGGAAGAGAGGCUGAACCAAGUACCUACACACACAUAUGACGUUUCUGUCAGGCACCAGGUGAGUGACUUUUACCUUGUGUUGAGUUUUGAUCUGGAGUAAUAGUCACAAACAAGGAAAAAAGUAAUCACGCAAUUAUAUGCUAGGAAGGUUUCAGCUCGAAAUCAAACGAUGUCAACAGUUAGCAUUGGAAUAGUCAAGUGCCAGUUUCAAGCGAGAUAGUACAAGCGUAGGUUUGUACAAAAUCCGCAACAUUAUGUGGUAUGACCGUAUUAUGUAUUUUUGAUAUUGAGAAGAGAGUAGGAAUAGGUAGGGUCCGACUCUGAAGAACCAAAGAGGUAGGGGCGACCUUCAAUGCACUAGCCAACUCUUUGACCUGACUCAUGUAGACAGCAGCCAAGCGAUAACUUUUCGUAGCAUAUAUAUGUAGUGUUGUCACCAUCGAGACUCUAACCUUUGUGCAGGCGUUGCAUAGAUCUGGGUAGGUAGAGCACAUCGGUUAGACCUAUAUCUGGGAUCCAAAUCCGUUUGGGUACCCAGGUAAAAUGCUUUAAAAUAAAAGAGAGAAACUCAUGUGUUCACUGUUCAGUAUGAACUCGCCCUACACCGGAACAAAUAUUUUCCGUCAACGAACAUGCAGAAAACCUGGACCAGCAUCUAAUAGAUUUUGAUCAUCGAUAGGAUGGGGGGAAUAAUCAGUGGAGGCGAAGUGCCGUUGCACCAACCACGCGCAUAAUGAUACGUUUAUAGACGUGUGGAGAGAGAAAGAGGACAGCAUAAUGAAGCAGAUUGCACGCCGAGUGAAAGAGAGGGGAAGGAGAAAUUACUUGUAUACUGAAACGUCUUCGUUACGUUUGAGGCGUCGUGUGCAAUAUCGAACAUAGCCCAAGAAAACCAAAGAACCGAACCAAUCAUCCGGAAGAGCCAAUGACGGCGCGGCACGCCGAAUUUACAUACUACCAAUAAUCAAACGAUUUUUAAUUUUAAUAAUACUAAUAAUAAUCAAACUUAUUCCGCGAGAGGGUUUCCUGUACGAAUUCGGCAGUAACGAGUCGCUGCAGCUUGAAAGUUUCGUGAAUGCAAUGGCAAUUACCGACAGUUAACCUAAAACCUGAAAGAACUUAAGAGGAAAGCGUACCUGGUUUUCCAGGCGCACGUUACACUGGUAAAAAAGCUGGAAUUUGACCAGCGAGUGUCUGGCGCGUUGCAGCAUGAGACGCAGCCAACCAGAUAAUGAAAGGUAAUUCCAGUCUACUCACAGAAGCUUGCUACUCCCGAAUUAACUAACGUGGAUUUGUAUAGAUUCUUACCCAAAUACACGUCGGCUAAUUUGAGACAAGGGAGUAUUACAAUACUAACUAACGUGGAUUUGUAUAGAUUCUUACCCAAAUACACGUCGGCUAAUUUGAGACAAGGGAGUAUUACAAUACUGUUUCUUACUUCAAUCAGUCAACUGGUCAGAAUCGUGAGCGGGUUUGGGGCAAGGCGGACGUUGCAUUACUAAUUGGAAAAUCGACCUAGAGCGUAUACAAUGUGGCCACUGGGCCAAUAUUCCAGAGCAUCUGGUUAUAAGUGCAGUCCGCCACCAAGGGCUUCGACAAACUAAUUUUACUUGUUGCUGCUUUAAUAUCGUGUUAUCUGGUCAUACGAAAAACAUCGACUACCACAAAGAGCUCACGAUUGUUAGUUAAUCUAUACUCCGUAGCAUUCAGGAAUGAGGAAAAGCAGAACGGAAUACGAUGCUUCAGAAGGGCAUUAGGAUCGUCAGACUACAGAGGCGGUGCUUUAGUACACUAGAAUAAAGGGGAGCGUGCAUCCUCCCUCUAUUCCAGUGUUUAGGUGAGAACGUCUCGGGUCAUAACCGUACGCUCCAGGAGCCAGGCUUCGUACAGCCCGUCACCACGUAGUUAAUAAUGUUAAAUGUUUCUUAGGAUAGCUCUGUUGUGAUGGUCGUCUCUAAAUUUUGCAGGCAUCAGCUGUGUUCGCACAGUAGAGCGAAGCACCAUGCUGAAAUUUAGUCGCAUCGUAGCAUGAGAAACAUAUAUAUUCUCACUACACUACGAGAACUGCACACUGCAAAUUACAUGCUGGUGAAGAAUGAUUUUCGGUUCGUUUCAAAUCACCAGAGUUUUGAUACGGCGACACCAUUACAUUAUUGAUGUUCAUACAUAUAUAUCAAAUUAAAAGAACUAAUAAUGCAUCUAGCAAGCUACACAACAUUCUACCAUGGCUUCAGCUACUGCAAUGCUGGAUUACUCAAUAGAACUAAUAAUAGCAAACCUUAUGUAGAUCAAAAUUAUCCAAAACUCAAUCGAGAAAAAAUAUGCAGUACCAGUUAAUUAUGCAAGUAAAGACUACUGACAGCAAAAUGCACAUAAAGGAUACAAGUGUGGAAUUGUUAGAAAAACUUCAAAUAAAAUCUUACCGUGAUAUGCACCACAUCCCCACCCACCAGGUAAAUAACCCUGAAUCUGCAGCACAUGACCUAUCUAUACCACCCACUGGAAGAUGUAAUCAAUAAGAUAGCUGCUCAGUUCUUUUUUUCUCAGUACAUAGCUCAAUUUCAAUAUGCCGGCUUACUCUUGUCUUACAUUCCAUUCUUUAUGGUCAUCUUGGCACUAUCUGGUAUGCCUAGCAGCUAGAGGGUUACUUUAUUUAGUAGCUAAAAUUAUGUACCUUAUGUCAACUACUACUAUACUACAAAUCAACAGGCAACAAUAAUAGCAGGAAACCUAUGUAUGAUGCAAAUAUGGCAUGUUCCUGGGAGAACCAGGGAGACUAUCUUGCUAUUUUCAGCCAUGAUUUACACUCAAUGUGUUCUGCUCAACUUAACUCAAGAUAAGGAAAUGAAUGCCAGGAAUUAAGAUACCAAACAUUCAAAAUUGAAAUCUAUCCAUGCUGCUGCUAAAGUUAGCUGAACCUAUUUCACUAGCUCAAUAUUUUAGCACAAAGAUAUAGCAAACAAAAUAAAAAGCUACGGGCAGAGGUGUGCUUACCUUAAGCAAUAACUUGGCAUCAAGGUUGAUUUCCAGAUCCACGUUGUAGCUGAAGCAAUAAAUUGUGAGCAAACUGGAGAGUUGCCUGGUACUUCUUGUUCUUAUCCGCCUCAUCUGGAGCUUGGACAGAACCAGAAGCAACAUUUUGCUGCUGUUGUGCCUGAGAAGAGAAAUCCUGGUUUACCCUAUCAGCAGGGAACGGCGCUGCCAGAUGAAGCUGUGUCGAAUUCCCCACCUGAUUAUUUGCUGGCAAAGGUCCAUUGUUCAGUUGAGGUGGGGGAGGGGCAGGGAGGUUAUUAUUGCUGGCCUGGAGGUUAGAUUGGCUAGCUGUUGGUAACAGACCGUAAUUGCUUUGAGACACGUAAUACUGCUCUGGUUGAUACUGUUGUUGGUUCAUUUGUGUAGGCAAACUGUAUCCACCCAUGGAUGACGGCAUUACGGCACCGGGUGCUAGUGUAGGGACAGGAGGAGGUGGUGGCAAGUUCAAAGCAAUUUCAGGGUUGUAAGCAGUAUGGUGUGUUGAGUGCUCCUGAGCACCCACCAUGCUCCCAUAGCUUGUCAAGUGAGCUGAUGGAGCUUGCGUGCUGAAUUGUUGUCCUGGUUGCUGAAGAUUACCCAUCUGCUGGAAGGAUGAAGUAGAAAUCAUUGUGUGAUUUUCAUGUUCUAAUAUGUUAGGAAGUGUAGAAGCAUCAUGCAUUAGUGAUGAAACAAAUCUGGCUAGGGAGCUUGGGAAUACCUGACUAGUUACCGGAACUGAUGACUGCACAUUCGGGAUAAGCUUAGCUAAAGUGGCCAUAAUAUCGGGCUUGAGUGAAGACUGUGCUUGCUGUCCUGCUGUUUGGGUCGUAGGAUAACUUGAUAGAGCUAGCUGAACUGCUUCCUCGCGCAGAGCUCCCCGAUAAUGAGCAUCCAGAUGGUGGUUGUCAUUAGAAGAAACCAUACUGUAAUUUCUUUGUGCUGUAAACAUAGUUUCCCUUUCAUCAUCGUAAGGUUGUUGUGACUCUGGUCCAGUUAGCUGUGGUCUCUGGAAAGCAGCAGUGGGUAUUUGAGGAAUGUGUAGUACCACGCCAUAAAGGCGCUCUGGACCAUCAACUUGCAAAACAUUAGUCAAGAAAUCUGAUGGCGGGACCAAAAAUAAAGUAGCCCCUUGAUCAAACUUCACAACCCCUGCACGACUUUUUGAGCCUAAGUAGCGCAGAAAUUCAGUAUAACAAACGAAAUCAUCUUCACUGUCUGGUAAGAAGAAGACAAUAUCAAAACCCGAAGCUUCUCGAUAAUGCAUCUCAAGCAAAUCUAAUCCCGUUCUAGCAGAGCAAUUAACAACAUCAGGUCUGCAAAGAAAGUGGAGUAUGCGUGAGGUUAAUCAGCUAUAGAAUGAAUGAACUUUCAGAACACAAAAUUGAAGUGUUGAUGUAUGUACAUACAAAGGUAUCUCAAUGCCCUUCCUAAUAGACAAGCAGCGAACACGACAAACAGGAGCUCCACAUUUGGCUAAACUGCCACGCCAGAAGUGCCCAAGGGAUGAUGAUGUUUGCUGCACCGUGCCCUGGAUUCGAAUAACAGUGUUUAAACUCUCCUCAGCAUGUGCAGCACCGUCAUGAUGAAGACCAUCGGCGCCUGCCCUUACAUCAUAAGGGUCUGCACCAGCAUCCAGCCGCAUCCUUUUGGUUUCUCUAGGAUCAAAUACAUUCUGGGCAGAACGUCCAGUCAAAGAAGAUGAGCCAGCUUCAGGUGCUGGAAGGAUACCGCUAGUGAUUGGCACAGCAUCAUAGUCCAAGUAUCUUGAUCUCCCACGUCGAGGAUCAUACCCUUGUAAAGCACCAUGACUGCCGCGGCCAGGACCACUAUAAUCAGGAGCAGCAUAUCGACUGUCACUGUACAUCUCUGAUCUCGGAAACCCGGCAGGCGGGCUUAGAUUAUCAAGUUUAUUGGGUGCAAGCUCGCUGUUGGAGAAAAGAACAUGAAUCCUACUAUCGUUGAAAAGACGACCAUCGAGAAGAUUCUUAGCAUUAGAAGCUCCUUCGACGGUUGCAAACUCCACAAAAGCGUAUUGCCUUUCUGGAAACGUCUUAAUAUUUGUGACAACACCAUGUGCGGCCAUGGUUCGCCGAAGUGCCUCCUCGUUAAUUUUAUGUGUAUUUGGUAAACCCACCCACAGAACAUUCGUAGGAUUUCCUUCUCGUAACCGUACUCCAGCAGGACCCUGACAAACAGAACAUGAUAUUGCAGGCAUAAGGAACAUCGGCAGAUCAAAGAGAGUAGAGCAAGCAAGAACAAAGACAUGUAAACAGCAUGUACCUUUGCAUGUCCAAAUCCCAUAUCAACAGGUGGCAUCGAUCCUCUAACAUUGAAGUUGCUUGCUUCCGACCGCUCCUAUCCAAAUCCAGUACAACGAAAUUGCAAUAAGACAGUGCCCGUAAAAACUGUAACUAAGAAAUACGAUUCGCUAACUCAGUCAACAAAAAUUGAUACACACCGCUCUGCCUCUGGACCUCUGGAAAUCAACGCACAAUUCCUUGCCACCUAAAACUGUCCCAUUCAAGGCUCUAUGAGCAGAGAUGGCAUCUUCCAGCUUCUCAAAAUCAAUAUAUGCAGAUGUUUGAUCACGGGAGAAUGCAACACCUUCAAUCUUUCCAAACUUUUGAAACUCCUCUUCCAGCUCCUCCUUUGAAAUUGAUGGACUAAUUCCACCAACCCAUAGGUUCCUAAUAGCUCUAGCCUGUAAAAACCAAUCAACAAACAUGAAUCAUCAGAAGGCAUGGUGCUGUUUAAGUAACAAAAUGGAAAAACACAAUCCUCAUCCCGACAGAAAAACUAGUACCAGAUCCAUGUAAUAGCUAUGAAGAUAAACAUUCUACUCCCUCCGUCCAACAAAAGAUGUCUCAAAAUUGUCAAAAUUUAGAUGUAUCUAGACAUGACUUAGUGUAUAGAUGCAUUCAAAUUUAACUAAAGUUGAGACAUCCUUUGUUGGAUGGAGGAAUAGCUUAAGCUAACCAUAUCAAAGAGACAAGGCAUUUGACUCAUUAUAGCAGAUUACAGCCCAACUAACAUCAAAUUGGACUAUACGCUCACAAAUCUAUACACACAAGCAGAUAAAUUGAGCAAUUUCACCCUACAAACAAAUUAAAUGGAACCAACCAAGAAUUCUUUAAUAUAACAUUGUAACUUAAAUGAAACAAUACAAUAUCAUUUAUACAGACUUUUGAUCCACCAUAGCAACAAAUUAUAGCCGGAAAAACACCAUGCAUCAUCAUCAUCAGUGCGCAUAUCAUUACACAACACCAGCACAUAAAAGCAGGGUAUGACUUGAGCAAUUUCACCCUAGAACAACCAACAAUCACUAAUUCAACGUGAAUUAUAGCGCCGAACAACCUCACGCAUCACCAGGACAACCAACGAUCACCAAAUCUAGGACUAGUCUGGCUCCAACUGAAGCCUUAUAAUAAACCUAUACAUCAUAACUAAGGGUCCUCAGUCCGCACCGCUAAAAUCGUUCUCUUAUGCGAUAUCAGUACAAACCACACGCAGCUAACCCUAAUUUACCAAAAAAAAUCAUCACGGAGCGACCAACUGCAGCCAAAUCAAGGGGGAAACCUAAGGUGAGAGCAGAUCCAGACGGAGCAGGGGAGAAGAUCCAUUACCGGCCGGGCGAACUCGAUCCGGAUGGAAGAGCCCUUGACCUUGGCGCCCCGGAGUGCCUCGAGGGCGGCCCGGGACUCUGAUAGGGAGCGGAAGAGGACGAAGGAGUAGCUGCGGGAUCCAGCUCGCGUGAGGACGCAGUCGAGCGCGCCGUGCGCGGUGAAGGCCGCCAUCACGUCGUCCUCGCUCGCAAACGGGGGUAGGUUGCCCACCCACAGCGUGUUCGUCUCGUGGCCCGCCCCUGGGACGGCACCAGCUCCGCCACCGCCGGAGAUCGAUUCCUUCGGGUGCGAGGGCGAAGCCUCGGCGGCAUCAGGUAACUGCGGCUCCGACGACAUCAACGGCCGGGGGAGAGAGAGACACACACUGCGCCCUAGGCUACGAUGCGGGGGAAAUUCUGGCUCUCGGGAAGAGGGGGUGAGACCGUGAGAGGAACCGUAGCGGGGCGGUCUUGUAUUUAUGCCACCCGGGCCGGGCCGGGCCGGGUGCACCGAGUAGUUCGUAGCCAUGGCUAGAGAUGUUGCUAGGCGAGGCCGAGGCCGCGUCUUCCUUUUUUUUUCUAUAAUUAAAUUAACGGAUAUUCUAAGUGGGGCACGUGCCCCAGCUAGUCUUGCGGUCUUGCCGAGCGGCGCACACCGGUCCGUCCGAUCUACUCGUACUCCGUAACUCCCGUCGAUCCCCCUCUGCCUCUCUCCCGAUCCCAUCUCCCUCUGCCUCUCUCAUUUUUCUCGUAUCUCUCUUGUUCUCCUCCCGAAUUGAAGCAGUCGCGGCGUGCAACGGAAUCCCGAGCAGCAGGCAGCCGGAGCGGCCAGAAUAGGGUGCGGCCGGGGCGGCGGAUCGGCGGCGGAGAGGGGCGCCGCUGGGCCGGCGGUUCGGCAGCUUAGCGAGGAGCGGCCGCGGGCGGCGGCGGCGUGGCGUCGUUGGAGCAGCGAUGCAGCGUGCAGCCGGAGCGGCCGGAAGAGGGCGCGGCCAGGGCGGCGGAUUGGCGGUGGAGCAGGGCGAGGCUGCGGGCCGCGGCGGCGUGGCGUCAUCGGAGCAGGGGCGCAGCGGUGGCGGCGGGGCGUCGACGGAGCAGGGGCACGCGGCACCAAAAUCCCGAGCAGGGCGUAGGCGCAGGCGUCGGGGGUGGGUUCGGCGACCAUCAGGAGCAGCGGCGUCUUGACUGAGGCGGGGAGGGUGUUGACGGGGACGAUGGCGAGGUUCUAGACUGGGCCAAUCCCAUCUCUGCACUCAACUUGCCAGUUAGUCUCCAUCACUACCCCGAUUUUGUCCGGCAUUAGCAUCUCUUCAGAUUUUGUUGCGUGAUUACGCAUGCUAUUUGCUGCAGUUUUCACUGGAUUCAUUGGUCUUGGUGUUAUACUUGUUCUCAGGUUACGCGUGAGGUGAUCUGAAAACCAUGUGGGUGCCGGCAUGCCGCAGAUCGACUCUGACCUCCUUCACCGUCUCUUGAUCACCUUUGUUAUUGUCGUUGUUGCUGCCGCUGUUUUAUGAUUUGUGUGUUACACUAGAUAGUAAGUAUUCGCAAAUAAUGCAUACUUGUUAUUGAAUGGUGAUCAAUAAGUGAGCGAAUUCGAGACUAGAUAUUGCUAAUCGGACAGCAGGGAUAGGUAACCUUGCAAUUAGACAAAGGUAAUCUGACAAUUAUGUAUCGCUAAUCUGGCAAGUACAGAUAGGAACCUGACAAGUAGGCAUAGGUUAUCUGACAAUUAUGCAUGUCAAGUAGGGAUAAGUAACCUGGCAAUUAGGUAAAAGAAAAUUGGCAAGUAGACAUAGUUAAUCUGGCAAUUAGGCAUUGCUGACCUGACAAGUGGCCACAGUUAAUCUGGCAAUUAGGCAUUGCUAACCUGGCAAAUAUGCAUAGAUAAUCUGGCGAUUAAGCAUUGCUAACCUAGCAAGUAUACAUAGGUAAUUUGUCAAUUAGACAUAAGUAGGCUUAGAUAAACUGACAAGUCGGUAAGCAGGCAUGUAUAUUCGGGUCGUAUAUACAGGCUUAUAACUAAACUGACAAGUAGGCUUAGAUAAACUGACAAGUCGGCAAGCUGGCAUGUAUAGUCGGGUAGUAUAUGGACAAUGAUCAAUCGGAUUUAACAUAUUAGAACCGGUCAAAAUUUUGGCAUGAAAACCAUAUGCGAUUUAGAAGGAAAAUAAAACUAAGUGGCUGGGAGCUGGUGCUUGCUGGGUCUGAGAUGGGCUUACUGGGUUCGCAAGCUAUACUCCCGAUGGCCAUGCGUGCGCCUUGAGCUGGGUUCUGCGCCAAGCGUGCGCGGUUCUGCGCAAAGCGUGCGCGCGUGUGAGAAGCCAGACACGGCCAGCAUGCAUGCAUAAGCGGGAAUCGGGAGAUGUGUUGCGCGUGCGCGGGGCGGGAGGCAGGUGCCGCUGGGGCUGCUUACGUGGGGAAGGCCGCUCUGUAGUUUAGUCCUUAAAUUAAAUACCCAAAAUCACUCUAUGUCCAACCGCGCUACACGGUGCGGCCGAACCUCCGAAGAAAAUUCCUCCGCAGGCUCUACCUCAAUUCUUCUUAUCCCUUUCUUUCACCGUCUCCCCCCUUCGUUUUUGUCCAUUCGCAUAAGAGUAGAGCAUCGAGAGAAGAGAGACGGUGACUGUCGAGCGAGCUUGACUAUGGUGGAGACGAGUCUCAAUUGAGUUGAAGCCGAUGAUGUCAUGACUAGCCGUGGCGGUGAGAGCAGGCCAAAGCAAAGGCGACAAAAAGGUAAGACGUGGCCGAGCUGCAAUCGACGGGGUUUGAGCUGAAGCGCCGACAAUUUGGCUGGACAGUGGCCAUGGAGGCAAGAGGGUGAUAAGCAUCAAGGAGGUAAGUCCUACGAACCAACCUUAGAAGAAGAAGAUGUUCAUUACCCAACCUUAAAGAGAUGGCCUAGGCGGCCGCUAUGGUGGCAGCUUGGGUAGGACAGGGUAGCAUUUCGGGCACACGUAUCGAGAGACCGUCGGUUGGGCUAAUGCUACUUCUUCCAUUCCAAAAUACACCUCAUAUAAAGGUGUGCACUUCGACCAAGGUAUCUCUCGUUUCUAGUGUUUGACCACUAAUAUUAGACUAAUAGUUGAAAGAUCGGUAUGAUCGACUAGAGCAGGGGGGAAUAGACGAUUAACAAUCUUACUUUUUUUCUUUUCACUGUUAGGGAUACAAGCAUCAAUAUAUGGGUUCACUAAAACGUCUAAAUGAUGAACACCCUAGUAUGAUGCACGAGCACAAGCAAUAUAUAAUCAAUUGAAAUUUGCUUGAUAGCCGAAGCACAAGAUAUAUAAUUAAGCUUUGCAAGUAAGUAAAAAGACAAAAAUGAUACCACACGGGAAGACGAAGAUUUCACCGGAAUUUCACCUAUUGGGGGCGGUGUACGUCUUCGUUUGGAGGAGUGCUCUACCACAAACGUAGAGGCGCCACAAAAACUCACUCUAUUCUCCAACUCACCACACCACAAAGGUGGGACGAGCUCUAGAAAGAUUUGCAACGAAGAUCUUACUCCUUUCUAUCCAUAAUAAGUGGUCUAGUACAAAGUUAAUACAACUUUUUACUAUUUCAAGGCACUUAUUAUGGAUGAAAGACAGUAAUUAACAGCGUGAGAGCAUGUAAAAGAAAGCAUAGCAUUAGAGUAUUUCAUUAACAUCCACAUUGCCGAAUCAAAACUCUCUAGUGCUCCUUUUUUUUUAUUGUUAUCUUAAAUUGCUAAUUCUUACUCCCCACGAUCCAUAAUAAAUAUCCGGGAUUUACUACAAAAUUGUACUAAACACUUAUUAUGGAUAUGAGGGAAUAGUAACGAGACCAUGACAAGAGAUGGUAUAUGUUGAAGCAUGUGGUAUAGCAUUGCUGCUUCAACAGCCAUAUCAUGCAUGACCGAUAUCCCGAAUUUACCCAUGAUACAAUCGAAGACGAUCAUCAUACUUUUCAGAAUAGAUUGUAUCAUGCAAGCACUAGCAAGAUAUGAACUUAUAGAUCACCUAUUAUAUUGUAUCAUAUGGCAUGUCUUACUGUGUUCACUAAAUAAGCGCACAAGAGAAGGCCCUCUGAUGUAUAUUGCACAAGGCCUUAUACAUCUCACAUGAAAAUCAGGGAAUUCACAGGUUUUUGGCAGAAACUCUGCAAAUAAUAAACUUCAAAAGCUAUGCAAAAGAUUCCCUCGUUACACACUUUGAACGUAUUGAACAUGACUCGUGAACCGGAACAAUAACUGGUGAUGCAGUUAAAAGGUCCACAACACAAAACCACACAUGUAAACAUCGACCGGCGCGAGUAAGCCUUUACAAGCAAGGAGCAUCAUAACGAUCUUGAAAGAAAAUUUUAGAUACAUACAGGCAGAUAUCAAAUUGUUCUAAAGCAUUAACGCUAGUCCAUCAACACCAGUAAGGCAGUAAGCAUGGUUUCCAACUCAACCGAAACUUGUUGGGCCAAGAAUCUGAAAAGAACAAACCAGCAUUUGGUGAGUUGCAAAGGGUAUGUUAGCUGGCAACAAAUAGGCACUUUUACAGAACAAAAAAAGAACAGAAUGGCGGUUGUACCUUUGUUAACUGAGCAUAUUUUAGUAAUAAAGCAUCAAAGAGUCAUGGCCAACGUUCUCUCUAAAAUAUAUAAUGCCUUGAAAGAGACCAUCGCAUUUCGAACCGCUGGCAAAUUUCUAACCACUCUGUCCAUUAGGGAUCUCAUUUUGGCAGAGGCAAUAGUUACUGAAGCAUCAAUUUCCUCCUCACAUUGUUCAUAGACAAUGAAGACAAUGAACAGGGAUGCCAGUACUGCAGUCAGGAGGGGCAGAAAUCAGAUGUUAAAUUGAUAUUAUGACAAUAAAUGAGAACAAUGUAUGGAGUGGCAAAAGAUAACCCUCACCAACACCCAUCAGCAUUCUGAAUUGGAAGUUCAACAUUACUUUGAUACAGAACAAGGAAGCAACAACCUGUCAUAAAAAAGAAACUUUAGAUCAAUCGGCUGUAACAUAAAUUAAUUAUCACCGUUGUACCGAGUACCAUUCUUGCAACAAUGUGUUUACUGUUAUUAUGUGAUUUUCGAGUAAAGUCUAGCUUGAUCGAGUUCUUUAUGUACCAUUCAUAAAGAAGGAUUUACAUGGGUUGGGGUUAAUUAUUCUCCAAUUCAUAUGGAACUAAUGAUUACUUCUAGCACUCAGUAAACCAAGUAACGUGCAGGAUAAAACUAGAUCAGAACUACCAAGCAUGAUGGAAGAAAUAGGGGGCAUUUCUUUAUAUGGCACAUAACAACUUCAUUUGCUGUUUCUAUGAAACUGAUGUCUUGCUGACCUGCAAGGCCAUGUCAACUCACAAUGAGGGCAUACAUAGUCAUUCAGUGGUACAUAAAGAAUUUUAUCGGCAAAUAACAUAUUGCGCAAUGGUAUAUCAAGUAAAUCAUUUUACUCAACACAAACGAAGGUAUAUCAAAUAAACCAGAGUAUAAUGGCUUGACAUGACUGUAGGGAAAUAAUCAAGGACAAUAAAAUGUAGCUAAUCAAGUUUAGAAAAUGACAACCUGAGCCUACUCCUGAGGGAAAAAAAAAAGGUUCAGAAAUUUGCCCAACCACUGCCAACAAUCACCCAACAAGACCAAAUUCAAAUGUCAGGCCUGUGAUCAAGGAACCCAAACUUACUGGGCAAGUGUUUCCAGAAACAAGAUUGUUUUACUAAGAAUUACAGGAAAAUAACAUAGCACAUGGGGCACUGUUCUCAACUGGCUGAAUACAAACCUUUAGAAAGGUACUCCAGUCAUCACCUUCUGCUAUAACCCUCAAUUUAUGAAUACCUCCGUUCCAUAGAGAAGCCAGGCGUAUAAUUGGAUUCCUCAAAGCUGAGUGUGAUACUUCAAAAUAAUCAGGAGUAACCUUCUCUACUGUAAGACCAUACCUGCAAUUGGAGUUCAAUACUUUGAUAUAAUGUACUAAAAAUUAUACUCCGUACUGUAGUUGCACAAAUGUGUGGAAGACCCACAUGCAGACUGAUCUACCAGUCUAUUCCUCAAGCAUAUCUACCUAAACGUGUAUGGGGUUUCAGUUAUUUUAUCAAAAGUAACAGUACAGAAUAUAAACCAAUAUACAUACACUUGUGAAGGUAGCACACCGUGGAUGUAAAGAGCCAGGGAGAUCACCAGAAGAAUUUUGGCAGACGAGGAGACAAAAGUUCUGUCUGAAAGCAGAAACCAGUAGAACAGUAGAAACAAUAGUGUGACAUAUGAAAAGGUUUUCUUUUCAUCCCUCCAAAGGAGAAUAUCAGCAGCUGCAGCAAAAUGGCAGAAAGUGAACAAGGCAAAAAUAUAGAUAUAUCAUAAUGAUCUGAUGAUUAAACGUCAGAGAAAAGCAUUUAGAAGAAGAAAAUACUACUCCCUCCGACCCAUAUUACUUGUCGAAAUAUUACAUGUAUCUAGACGCUUUUUAAACAUAGAUACAUCCAUAUUUGGGCAAAUUUGAGACAAGUAAUAUGGGUCGGAGGGAGUAUGUAUCUUGAUUGUUGUUGUUGUUGUUGGUUUUAAAAGAUCUAGUUCAUACAAUUCGGAGGCGAGUGCAGAAAGAAGUGGUCUGAUUAUCUCACCUAUCCCACCACCCAGUAGCUUAUCUGCUUUUGAUGAUACACAAGAACCUUGUUUCCUUGACAGAUCCAGAUUAUCUGGUAGUUCCAAAAUUGACCCAGCAGUUCUCAUAAUUCCAUCCUGCAUACAUAUUAAACCCACUGGUUGUUAAAUUUGUGAUGUCAGAGAAAAAGAAGUCUGCGAGAGCAUUCAUAAUAGAUAAAAAGGUUUGGAAGCAAGCUCACCUCCAAUGAUACAAUUGGAUUAUAUAACUGAGAAAACAAGAGCAUGCACAUGGAGAAAAAGGUUAAGAAGCAAGCUCACCUUCAAUGAUACAAUCGGGUUGUAUCCAAGUAACCUUCUAGCUUUUGAAGUGUUAAAAGUUCUUGUGUGUGCUAAGAAGUACAACGUAUCGGGAUAGAGAAGUGGAGCGUAUGACAUUUGCAGACACAAUCCGUGAUGAAUCAUAUUGGAGAACCAGGCUGCAAACAACAGCAUCUUGGAAGGAAGAUUAAUCCUGGGCCUAAAAAUGGAAGAGAAGCCACAGCACAUAUUAAUUUUUAGAAUAGCCUUUGCUGCAUAUGUGCGCUGAGAGAGAGAGAGAGACCUCUGACAUCCCAUGGCUUCCAGCAUGCAGGACAUAAACUCCCAUGUUUUGAUAGGUUCAUCAUUAGUAAUAAAAAAGGGCUGCAAAAUAUUUAUAGACCAGAAUUGACUAUCAAAAUAAAUGAUAAACACAGCAUUUAAUUCACUAGAAGUGUACCUUUCCGGCAACAGAUGCUGCAUUUGAACAUAAAGCUUGCUCAGCACAAAUGUUGGCAUGGCUCACAUUUUCCACAUAUGUAAAGUCAGACAUGUUACCACCACUACCUGUUAUAAACUGCACAGGGCUGUGUAAGAAAACUAAUACUUCAUAGCUUGCAAAAAUUGUGUCAGCUGAACGCAGAUAAAUAGAGGAAUCAACAUAAAUCAAUAGUACAUCUGCCAGAAAGAAAGUACAUGAAAACAAGGUUCGAAUUCCAACAGUAAAGGGUUGACUGUAGAUGUCAGUUAAGUUUAAGUGGCCGACUCACUAUGGAGCAUGGACAUACCCCAGAACCAACUCGAUUGCAGCUACAUUAUGUCAAGUGGCAAGCAUGGCUUGGAGAUCUGGAAGUACUACUGACCACUAAACCAGAGAUAUAACCACCAGUCAUGUGUUUGUAUUCUAGCAUAUUCUGCUGUUACCACAGAAAGAAAUGCAAUAUGAAUCCCAAUAUGAGUUCAACAUGUUGAAAUUAGGCGGCUGCAGCAAAGGCUUUCAUAAUUUUACCACAUUAUAGCAACAUCACACUCUGUGAUACACAUAAACUGCGCAUCAAUGCACCCUUAAAUCCACUUCACUAAUUUUAUCAAUAUGAAGAUACAGUCUUAAGUCUCUAAGCAUGACUCAGAGAUCUGGAAGUACUACUGACCACUAAACCAGAGAUAUUACCACCAGCCAUGGGUUUGUAUUCUAGCAUAUUCUGUUGUUACCACAGAAAGAAAUGCAAUAUGAAUUCUACGUGUUGAAAUAAGGCGACUGCAGCAAAGGCUUUCAUAAAUUUACCACAUUAUAGCACAUCACACUCUGUGAUACACAUAACAUGUGUCACAUCAAUGCACCCUUAAAUCCACUUCACUAAUUAUAUCAAUAUGAAAAAUACAUUCUUAAGUCUAAGCGCUUGGAGGUAAAAUAUAAACGAGCAAAUGACAGCUUCGAAUACCUUGCACAAGGGAGACCUUGCAUAUCCAGCAAUGAACCUCGUCACACUUGAAUCGCCUGGCCCAAACAAAUUGCUCGGGCACAGCACGCAUGUCCGCAUCCCACCAUUCCCAUCCACACUCAGCACCAUCAUCUCUACUUGUGCCCUGAGCUCGCUCACUCCAUUCCCAAACUGCAUCCACAGCCAAGAGCAGACAACAAUCACUCUAACAAGCAAAAGAAAAAUAUCCAAAAGCCCAGCAUAUGCAGGCAGCAAAUAGCACUAAAAUAUGGAGCGAACAGCGCCGAGAUCAGAUCACGACGAGGAAGCACAACGCCACGAGUCCGCACCUGUUCGGGGUACGAAACCGAGUCCUCGUCAGCGCUGAUCACAUCAAGGGCGCCGUCGGUCACCACGUCGGUGGAGCCGGUGUACACCACCCUUCUAACGCCGCUAGCGCGGCAGGCGGCGAGAAGGCGCCUCGUACCCUCGGCCGCGAGGCUGUGGAGGUACAGGAAGGACGACCCGUCGCUGCAUGCGGUGGCGGCGGAGGAGGUGGGGUCCACGUGGAAGACGGCUACGACGCCGGCGAGGACGGGGGCGAGCGCCGCCGCGGGAUCGGAGAGGUCGACCGCGAAGUGGGCGAGGGGGGCAGCCGGCUGUUCGGCAGCUGGCGGGGACGGGUCGAGGACGGCGACGGUGGACCAGCGGCCGGAUGAAGCGAGCGCGGCGGCGAGGUGGCGGCCGAGGAGGGUGGAGCAGCCGAAGGUGACGGCGCAAGCCGGCUUGGCUUGGGUAGUCUGGGUUGGGCCCGGGCCAGGAUCGGCGGUCGCCAUCGGGAUGGGGAGGGAGUGGGCGAGAGUGGAGCCGUGGUGGGGCGGGGAACGCGAUGGGGAGAGGAGACGAGGGGUUUUGUUCCGAGUUUGAGCUUCCGUUCCUUUCUCGCUCUGUUUGAAUUUUACGGAGUUUUCACCGGUUGCGGUUAGGAUCAUUUUGCACGGUUCUCGCUUUGUUUGAAUUUUACGGAGUUUUCACCGGUUGCCGUUAGGUCUCCUUUUGCACGGAUGUUUAGCCAAAAAAAAUAUUUUGAGGAAAACGGCAGCGCCGAUUUAUUAGGCCCCGUCUGGAUUCCAAAUGCCGUCCAAAUGUUUCACCCUCAAGGCCUCAACUCGCGCCGCUCACGGUUCAAGGGAGGGGACUCAUGGUCAUGGCAUGGACGACUGUGAUUUCCAUGGUCGCACAGGCUUUCGUCUAGCACUUUUCAAAAGACUAUACUGAAGUCUCAAAACACGUACAACCUCAACGGCCAAUGCAAUGUUGUGCUGACAAUUACUCGAAAAUAAUUUCUCUACAGAAUUUUUUGGAAUCGAUUACUAAACCGGCCAGAAGAGCUCUGCAUCCACGAAACCAAACAAUUGUACACUGACAUGAACUUUCGGUUGAUUCCGAAAUUAACGGGUCGAUUCGAUCGGUGAAAGGCCUUUUGAGCAUUCACAUGACAGAUCGACAGUUACCAAUAAUAAAAUAUAAAAAGCUAUUCCGAUUGCCACACAAGCUUGGGGGAGAGAAGGGAGUGGGGGGAUCAUGGUACUCUUCUCUUUCGGUGAUGCAUCACAUUCGUCGAGUAUGAUUGAUGACCGAGCACCACUUUCCAAAGUGUGAAGUAAAGUGCAAGCCUGACAUUUACAUCAUCGAUGAUAUGAAAGGACUACCACUACAACCAUUACAUGAUACAUCAUCAUUCAUCAGGGAGGGCUUGAGCUGCUCUAGGUAUAUAAUUGUAAUUUUACCUUGUUUUUUUAAAUCUCAAACACACACCUACAUGCGUGACAUUUUGUAUUAGAAAUCAUCAAAGAUAUAAGAUAUUUGAACAUACAACAAGGAGCAAAAACAAGAAGCUAGUACCUCUAAAAAAACAAGAAAUAGUAAGACGCCAGCAAAAGAAAAGCAAAGAAACAAAAAAAAACUAUGCCAAAACUGCAUGAAAAAGCUAAAACUGCACAUCCCUGAACUAACCUCACGCCCCAAGGUCUGAACUCUGAAGGGUGGGCGUGUGUUUUGUUCCUUCACAUUUGAGUGAUCUGGAUUGUGUCGGCACAUUCUGCAAAUAUUGAACAACGAAGCACCAAGACAAUGGGGCGGAUGCAAGGACUGAGAAGAUUCAAACAGCUAACUCGCAUUCUUUUUUUCUGUUCCAGGUUAGGAUAGCGGAACACAUUUUAUUUUUAGUCUACAAAAGAAUCACCAGCUGCUAUCGGUAGAACAAGCACUAUGCAAGCUACAUACAAGGCGACACCAUCUUCUUUCCCGAACAUUUUAGAAACAUCAAGCUAUAUACCUUUCCUCCCUGUGUCCCUUCAGUUGUGGGGUUCUUUGUCCUUCAACAAGAUAGUUGGGUUAUCAUGUUAUGAGAAUUUUCUUUGUGGCUAGUCAAAAAUUAUCUUUCGCCCGUCGGAUAACUUCAAGAACACGUGCAUCAUCAAAAUGGUCUGGAAUGGACAACAUUUUCUUGAUUUCUGGACUGGAAGUCCUCAAGAAAGGAUUGCACUGCUUCUCCCUUCCAAUUGUUGUUGGCACCUGUACAACAUCAAGCGUAAUUUUUUACAAAGUUAAGCAUUGUUGAACAAUCCCAUUGCUCGAAUGAACUAUACACCAUGCAAUCUGAAAUUGUGAUUUAUACCACGCAUCAUGCUUAUUUUGUUAUGAAUCUAAAGUGUAAGCAGGGAUUUGGGGAAUCAUGAAGACAAGAUGAGGUAAUGUUUGAACUGGAGCCUGGCCCUUGCAUGCAGAUCAUAUUUCUCUUCAACAUCAACAAAGAAAAGGACAAUUUUCUGGGCAGUGCAAAUAUGUCAUGUAGUUUUUUUAAGCGACCAUCAAAUCACUGAUGGACAAUCCCAUCCAGACAACAUAAGCAUCCCAAUUCUUUUUCAUAACCCAGCACGGGUAAUAGGAGAGGCCAAGGUUAAGCAGUACAUGGCUCUUCCAAAGCCCUCAAUAAGUUGCACUGACCAUCAAACAAAGAAUUUAUUCCUAACCCCAAGUGCUCAUGCUUAAAAACAUUCACUUUUUCUAAGAAAAUGUUUCAAAACAUUCACCAAAUGUCUUGUGAUCUCUUAUGGUAAAACUCAAAGAUUGAAUCUAAGGAAUAAGCAACAGAUAUCUACGAGAAAUAAUUGAGCAGAACAAUUCGGAAGUACUUGAAGCAUAUGCACAAACUGAUGUAUAGACUGUCAAUAACAAUAGGAAUGCUGAAUGCAUAUGGUUUUAGAAGCUAUAAUACCGUUGGUGUAUUCUUGUUGCGAAGCUCAGCAGUACUGGCAGCAUAUUCCUGAAGUUCUUCAUUUCCUGGUUCUACGCUCAAGGCAAACUUUGAAUUGCUCUGCAGAGAGGUACUUAAAGCAUUAAAUAACAGGUCAAUGUACAAAACUUCUGGCUAUGAAAAGAAAUAUCAUUCACCAGAGUAUAUUCAUGUCCGCAGUACACUUUUGUCACAUCUGGAAGAGCUAUGAUUUUCUGGAGCGAAGAGUACAUCUGCAGUAAGAUCAAGAAAAAGGUGAUACUUAUGUAUAAAUAUUUGAUACUUAUGUACAUAGCUACUUAUGUACAUCGCAAAGAUAUAAAAGAACUACCUUAUGUACCCUUCUAUGAAAAGAAAAAGAACAAAUAACUAACAAGUAACAACUGACAAAACUACUGCAAGAGCUUUUCUAUUGAAUUGAUUACAACUAUUCAUUUUGUUUGUUGUUCAAACAAAUGGAACUGCAAAAUGGUCGAUAUAGAAAAAUCCUACUUCUUAAAAUUAUUCAUAAAGAUCUUUUAUGUAUCUUGAGACUUACGUACUUAAGUUUAUAUUUAAAGAAAAUCUGAAUACCCCCAAAAAAUGCUUAUUAGCACAAUUAAAGGACUCUUUUAUCAGUGAGUUCAUUUCUCCCAGAAGUAAAAGCACUGGCAACAAAGCAGCUUAGCACAUAGAUUUCAUACAGAAAUUUGAGAACACAUGGAGUGAUGGAAGUAGAACAAACUCAAAGAGCAUAAACGCAUAGGAUCAUUUCAAUUAUUACAAUAUACAUGUACAUGAAGUUAUCUGCAUGGUAGAAAAAAUAACCUGCUGCGGAGUUCCUUCAAAAAGCUUUCCACAUGACAGAUUAAACAAGGUAUCACCUGUAAAUAUUGCUCCAGUUCCAGAGAAAUAAUAGCUCACAUGACCUAAUAAAGAUACAAGGGGAGUGGAUGAAUUUCUUGAAACCUAUGUUGCAUUAGAAUCUUCUUUUGUAAACAAACAUAAGAUGAAUAUCCAAGAAAAUAAUUAUGCAUCUCCUAAGUAUGAAAAUUCUUAAUAGUUUUGAACGUGUUCCAUAAAAGGCAGCAUCACUACUUCUGGAACUUUGGCAAAACAUGAAACAAGAAAGAAAACAGAUAACAUCAUGUGUGCAGAAGUGAGGGUGAGGAAAGUAAUUAGGAACUUCAGAGGGUAAAAUGUAAAUUUAAGUGAUACUCCUAGUGGUGACAACUUCCAAGUUCCAGCAAUCAGCAAACAUCGAAUGAUCCCAGGUGCAUAAGGAACUGGGCCAAAAAUCGCAUUCUAAGUUUUCAUAUGAUAGAAAAGAAACCACAUAUGUAAACUGGAACGAUGUGAACCUACAAAUUUUAGGCCAAAAUUAUUACCAUUUGUGUGCUGGGGAGAAAAAAAAUACAUUGUAUACAUUUAUGGUUGCUAUACUGGACUCUCACACAAAUGGUCUUAUUUUUGGCUCAAAAUUUGCAGGUUCUCACUUCAUCCCACAAGGCACAUAUCAGGAAAAAAAAAUCAGGUAUUCCAAACGAACUUUUAAUUGUAAUUUUUAAACAACCAAGUGCAAAAAACAGUCUCCUGUCAAGCUGAACGAGUAUGUAUAAUUUUUUUUCAGGUAUUCCAAACGAAAUUUAUUGUAAUUUUUAAACAACCAACUGCAAAAAAGAGUCCCUGUCAAGCUGAACCAAUAUGUAUCCAAUAGAAUUUAAAAAUUCUGGGCAGAUGAAAACAAAAAGGACAGCAAAAACGAAAGAAAAAUGCAAUUGCACACCUAAUGUAUGACCAGGAGUUUCCAUGACAAGAACUUGAUGGCCAGCAAACAUCCACGUGUCACCCUCGCUUAGAGUUAUGUCAAUGCCAGGAAUUCUAUCUUUAUCCUUCUCAGAGCCAAUUAUCUGGUAUGAAAAUUGUUGUCAGAAAACAAAAGCAGGAAUAUCAUUAUUUAUCUCUUAAUUUAUGCUGUUUCAAGUGAUAGGCACAGAUAAAUAAUGACACGCUAGAAAAAAUUAGUGUCAAUCAUUUCCUGUAUAUACCUAGAGAACCAUUAUAUAUUAAUAUCAUUAUUUAUCUCUUAAUUUAUGCUGUUUCAAGUGAUAGGCACAGAUAAAUAAUGACACGCUAGAAAAAAUUAGUGUCAAUCAUUUCCUGUAUAUACCUAGAGAACCAUUAUAUAUUACUACCUCCGUUCCUAAAUUCUUGUCGCUGUUUUAGUACAAAUUUGAACUAAAACAGCGACAAGAAUUUAGGAACGGAGGAAGUAAUAUUUACUACUUGAACAAUUUACACUGUCAAUUAAGCCAAAUGAGCAACUAAAUUUCUGACUUUAGUUACCAACUAAUAUCCUGGGUGCUUAGUUUGACAAGUCACACUAUAUUGUUGCUAUGAAUGUGGAUAUAUCUGGUACAGUAAAAUAUUCAUAUAAAUAUCUAAUUCAGCUUCACCAUUAAGUACAACCAUAGAGCUUUAGUUUAUCUGAUAUCAGCACCACAUUUAGUGGCUUCAAGCAUCUCUAAACUAUGAAAAUGAAAAGUACAGGGAGGCAGCCAAGUGUAUACCUUUGCACCAUAUUUUGCCUUCAGUUCCAAGUUCCCACCAGUAUGAUCAUAGUGAUGAUGGGUGUUCAAUAUAUAGGUCAAAUUCUGGUUUCUCUUUUCCAGUGCAUUUAUGAUAGGCACCGCCUCAGAAGGGUCUACAACUCCAACUGUUCCAGUAUCCACAUCAUGCAAGAUGUAUGCAUAGUUAUCUUGAAGACAGGGUACCUAGAGAGGAUAGGGUAAUAUAGUUAACAAAUACCGGAGGGAAGUUUAAUAGUAUGGAUGACAAAUGGUAUACAUCUACUGAAAUGAGGUUACGUGAAAUGUACAGAUAACUGAGGUUUUUGUGUUCAGUUCAUCUAUAUGGUCUUAGAGUGUGUGGUUCCCCCUAUAUUUUGUGAUAGCUACAAUUUUUGUUUGUUCCAAAUGAUAUAAUGUGCAAGUCAUGAUAUUCGACUUAAGAUGAAAAACCUAUAUAUACUCAGAGCUGGUGUCUUUUGAGAAACACAAGUCAUGCUGCUCAAAUAUGGUCUGAAGAGCAACUGUCUGAGAGAAACUGCAAACAUGAAGGAUCAUUUGCAAUGUAAACAUGACUGCGCAUCAUCUGGCCCACCAUAGUAAACUUGAUACUUGAUAGGCUGAUAGGGUUUGGCAGCAAAGAUACAGUCCACGGUGUCUAACAUAUAUCAUGGUAGUUAGGUAAAAGGGCAGAGAACAAAAUGAAAAGUGAGGCAGAAUAAAGCAAUAAGUGAUUAAGUGUUAGAAGAAUAUGGGAAGCAUCUUUUCAUGGACACGAAUGAUUUCCUUAUUGAGAAUGGCCCUUAGUUUCAUUCCAAAAUAAUGCCACAAGAGAUGCCACGCAAUCAUGAGAAACUCAUGGUUAUAAUUAGCCCCCCUCGACAAACAAGUUCUGAGAAUUGCCUCCCCAAGCAAACAGUCAACAGACUAGCCCCCCCAGGCUCUAAAAACAAAACUAAUCCCCGGAAUGAUUGAGUGUAUGCAUAGUUAUCCACCCCGGCCCACGUCCUGCCUGUCAUGUAAAUUAGCAACUAGAAGGUGAACUGGUAAGCAAACAUCUACAACAUCCACACGAAGUUUCAAUAGCAAUUGGCAGAACUGCGAUAAUGGAUAACCUAAAUUCUCAGGAGUUUCAGUGCACUCACAAGCUCAAUUUGCAGCGACGAAGAGACGCUUGUCAUGUUGCAGAGGUAGCGCGCGGCACCAAACAUCCGGCCCACCCCAUGUAGCGUCCUCAAAGGCAUAACCAGCAGCGUACCGAUCCCAUACAUCAGUGGCUUCCCGAGCCAUUUCCUGCUCACCCUCGGAAUCAAGGACGGCUGUCCCCUAAUCUGCAAAGCAAUACAACCAGCAACAUUCACAAUCAAAACAACACAGACGACCAAAUUACCGAGACCGAUUCCACAGUCAUCUAACAAAAUUAUAAAAUAAUUAAGCAAGGGCACCACGCCACCACGGAACAGCUGGGCACAUCGGGAAUAGCAGGAAGCGAGGGACCGAAUCGCAAAAGGGCGAGGCCCGUUCGUGACUUCGUUAACCCGAAGCAGUUGUUGCAGGCAGCAGCGAUCGGUCCCGUCCCCGACGAGAAUCCCCAACCCAGAUCCAAACCCUCACCGAGAAAUCCCGUAAAAACUAGGCGGAUGGAGAGAGGGGCAGAGGAGGCUACCGCGGGGGACGAGGAGGAGCAGCGCGGGAGGGAGGAGGCCACGAGCGAGCACGCCUUGGAGAACAUCCGCAUUCCUGCUCCUCCUUCCCUCCUCCCUGGGAGGCCACGAGCGAGGGCGGUGCUGCUCGCGUCGCCGCCUCCCGAUGAGACGGAGCGAGGUCACAACGACACAACUCACGAGAGGUGAGGGAGAGAGAGAGAGACGAAUGGAGAAAGCAAUGGAGACGGAGAGGGGAAGGCAAGUAGCGGGGGGAGAAGGGAGGGGGAGGUUGGCCGGCUGUGAUUGUGCUGGCUCGGCCGGACCGGGCCCCCCACGCCAAGGGGCCGGCGGGUCAUCUCUGCCUUGCCGACCAGGAUGGCACGUGUUGUUGUCCAUGCCGUCCGUUUGGAGAUCCACGGUGCAGAUGGGCUGGAGCGGGGAGGGCGAGCCGGGGCGACGUCAUGAAUGCGCUAUCUGCGUUUUUGUUUUUUAUUUUAUUUUUACAUUUGCGCGAUCUGCCACUGCGAUGGCGAGUGCUGGUACAGUUGAGACGAGUUUUUUUUGGACGGAACCGCGUUUUUUUGGGGCGCAGAUUGCUUACUUUUUUAUUUUAUUUUCUUGUUUCCAUUGGCUGAAGAAAUUAGGAACCAUGUAAAUUCCAGGAGUGUUUACUGUUUAGAGAAAACCACUCGAAAAAAUCACUUAAAACACAGAUCCUCCGGAGCUUGUUCGGUUUUCUAGUGCAAUGAAUAUUUCUACUUGUAUACAAGUGGAAGGCGUGACCUCAUUGCAUAACCCCGCUAACAACGAGAGAUUAAGUCUGCCGCUCUUACCUAAGCCACCAGUAGACCAUGUACUCCUCAAAACAAAAAAUAAACUGGUAGACCAUGUUCAAGGACUUGGUGAAUUAGCUCGAGACAGGAACAGCUAGCCCGAUUCCUCGACUACUCCGAAGGUCGGGGACCAUUGUUUGUACACAUUUCUACUUCUCCAACAGACAGGUAGUAACAAAAAUUACAUCAAAUUUACAACCAGCUGAUGAUAUUUAAGCACAAAUCACUUUCCCGCCUCGAAAAAUCGGAGAGGCUAUCCAAUCGAACAACAUCGCUCGCAAAUCAGAUUUUAAGUUACCCAAUCAACAUCAGCAAUAAAUACAGGCCAAUACGUCAAUCACCAUUUUUCUAUGACCUUUCGAGAGGAAAAAAAGAGACAGGGUUAACCAUCCAAAGCCCAACAAAAGCCCUACAUGCUACAUUAGCAAACCAAGCCCAAUCAAAUCGCAAGCUGGCGCAAGGACGAGGGCCAAUUGGGCCCCUCGGUCCUCGCGUCGAUGUAUUGACCCACCCACCACGUCACCCCUUCUUCCCGUUCGCCGGCGCGGGCGCCGCCCCGCCGCCGAGCACCGCCGCGGCCGAGUCGACGUUUGUGAGGAGGAACUCGUAGAUCUUCUUCCUCAGCCGCUCGAUCGUCUCCUCGGGCACGCCGCAGCCACCGCCGUUGGCCGAGGCAACCGCGGCCUCCCCGUCCGCGUCCGGAGGAGGCGCCCCGAUCUCGCCCAGCCAGUCAUUGACGCGCUUCAGCUGCGGGAGCAUCCUGGCCGCGCGCUCGCGGUCCCACGGCGCCGCUGCCGUCACGUCGGCGUCCAGGAACCGCUCCACGAACCCGAGGAACCACCCCCGGGACUCCUCCCCGAGCCGCCGAGCCAGCUGGCCUCUUUCCUCCGCGCCUCCUCCCCUCUCCCACUCCGGCGGGGGCUGCGACGCCGCCGCUGCCGUAGCUCCCGGCCCCGUCCUCGGUUUCCCCUUUGCAGGGGACAUCCGCGACUUCGCCGAGGGAGAAGACUUCACCGCGUUGGGGGACGCCGCAGCCGGCUUCACCGACUCAUCAACGAUGACCACGGCCAGCGGCGAAGAUACCGUGGCCGGGACCGGCUUGAGGUUGUAGAGCCCGAAGCUGGAGAGGUCCGUGGCGAGCGCGGCGCUCACCCAGGAUGUAGCUCGGCGCCGCCGCUCUGCCGCCACGGCAGCAGUCUCUUCAUCCGUGGCAGAGACCACCGUCCCUGCGUCGCUAGCCGUUGAGCAUUCCGGCGAGGCUGCGGGCUUGCUGAGGGUGUCAGUGAUCACAGUGGCGCGGGAAAGCGCACCGUGGAGGGCGAGGAACAGCUCAACGGUUGGCUGCGGGUUCUGCUCCUCCGCCGCUGAACUCACCUCCGCGUACGAGCUGCUCCGGCCAAAAACAAAGCAAGCCAAGUAAGGAUCUCACUACAUUACACAAAUCAUUACGCACGGCUAAAAGACAAGCAAAAUCACAGUAAACCCUUUCCUGCAGCGUUAGGAAAUUGAGUACAUUCACUUUCUAACGCAGUACUGUAACACAAACGGUAAAUUUUCCAGCACGUAGAUCAAAUGCUGACAUUUUUUCAGCAGUGUUUGAAAACGUUGUUCAUUAGCAGUGAUGGGAUUGACAGUAGAGAGCACUGGAGCUGCCAAGUUAAUGCUGGUAGAAGAAAACAAUACGCAGGGUCAAGUACAAUGCAAUAGUUACAGUACGCCAUCCAUGCAUGGCAAGAAGAAACGCAGUUCAGAACAUGGUCAGCCAUAAGCAAAUCAACACAUGUAGUUUCUAACUUUUUGACAUGGCCAAAUUGGUAAAUUUUGCAUGCUUCUAUAUGGCUCAGAAUUUCAGUUGUAUUUUAGCUUUCGAUUUUUGAAUUUAUGCAAGUUGAGUUGCAGUUUUGUGACUUAAUCUUCAUUUCUUAAAAUAUGUAGCUAAGUUCCACCUGCACCCAGAUGAGAUCCAAAAAUGAUGGUCGGAUGGACCACGGGUGGGAUCUCUAAAAGGGAAGAACCGAGCUGGUUGAUAGCAUUAUUGCAACAUGCAAGCCAGCUCGAACUGAGACAUUUGGAGCGUGAUGAUACCAACAGGUUAUCAAUGAUCUUGCCCUGGUGUAGUGGUGUGCAAGCGCAAAGGGAGCAAGCCACAUGAACAGCACUGGGUUCCAGUCUGUCCCUGGCCUGGUGUCUGGUGUGCUGACCAUGUCCUGUAUCUAGCAUAUUUAUGCUCAGCACAGGAGCAUGCAAACAAGGUUGUCUACGGCCAAAAACCAUGUGAAGGUCUGGAUGUCUCGUAAAGCUUAUCAGACAGGACAUCUUAGAAGUCUUUGACGAAUAAUGACUCCUUGACAUCGAAGGAUUUCUAUUUUUUCCUUUUCUUUCUUUUUUUUUGCAGGAAGACAUGCAAUGAUUUUUAAAAAUAUUGACACUGGAAUAUGAAGCUACGACAUUUAAAAUUUUAUAUUGUAAUACAAUUUGAGCUCCCAGUAGCAACUAUCUGCAGAAACUAAAAUCCCAAAUUUUGAAAAUUUUGAAUUAAUAAGCUGCAGCAUACGCCGUGGUACUUGCUACCACAUCACCUGGAUAGUUGGAUAAAGGUAGCAAAACAUGAGAGGUUACGGAAUGGCACAAUCGAACAAAAAGAUUCUCUUCUACUAUUAUAUAUCUUAAUUGUCAAAGCAUGUGAUUCCAUCAAAGUAGCAAGCAUGUGUCCAUCGUAAAACUAUGUUUUGUCCACAAUAAGUGCAAAUAAAAAAUUAUAGCUGAACAGCAAAUAAGUGAGAAAUUUUUUCUGAAAAUAAUUUUGCAGAGUACCCAAAAAAAUACGGUGAGGCCAGUGUCUAGAGAAAAAGUACCUCAAACAUCUGAGCAGGCUUUCUGCCGCAGAAGCUUCCUGCAUGGCUUCAACAGCAGCCACCUGUGCUGAUUCUCUGUACUUCAGAAGCUCCUGCCAGAAAUAUAUUCCAAAAGCAUACCAUCAGGUAGGAAAUUCCUACAGAGAAAGCACUAUCUUGCUAUCAUGCUGCUAGUUUUUUUUACAACAAAAUUUAAAAGACUGUCAAUAUUCAUAGGCAUUGGUAGCAUAUGGCUUCCAUGAGGAAACACGAGGAGAGCUAAUCUAGAUGCAAUUAUAUGCUAGAUCUUAACGCUACAGUACAAUAAACCAUAUUGAACAUGUCAAUGAACAGUCGUACCCUUCCUAAUUUGGCAAGUGGCGGAGGAAGUGAUGUCCAUGAAUUGCUAGCAUCUGUCAGUUUUUUGCCGUUGGGGGGGAUCUUAACCAAAUUUGUAACAUUUGGAUUGCUUAAAACCCCAGAUGUCCUUUUUACAGUAGGAGGAUGCUUCUUCAUUGCUUUGUCAGCAUCUACUGAAGGUGCAGGAGCACUUGCUGUGCUCUUCCUAGCAGGGUUAGGAAUCUUAAUAUCAUCUUUAUGUGAGGCCUUCUCGUCCACCUGUGGCUUUCUUCUAGGAGUCUGCAUACAAGAAUCUCAGGAUUAGCCAAGUUUCGUUGAAGCAAAAUCAGUGUAUAGAAGAAAUAAUGGCAUAACAUCAUCACAUUCUGUACUUUACAAAAUAUGAUGAAUAUGAAAUAAGAAUUAUAUCUUCACUACGAUCUGAGGAACUCAAGAGGCAAUAUUAUCAUCAAGAGAAGAUAGCGAUUAUGGAAAUUUUGACGUAUCAAGUGCAUCUAUCCGUAGCAUAGUUAACAGGUUACAUACCAUUGUACUCCUGUGCUCUGACUUCUUGUCUGCUUUGGUUGUCUUUGAAUCUGAAUCGUUUUUCCCUUUUGUAUCUACAGUUCCUUCCCAGCUUCUUCUCAAAGCCUUUGGUCCUGAUCCAAUACCCAACACAGAGCUACUGAUUGAAUUACCUGCAGAGGACUUCCUCCCAGCAGCAGUAACUUUCAAAACAGAAGCUGCCCUUUCUAACAAGGAGGGCCUAGAAGAUGAUGCUUUCUCUGGCCCUUUUACACCACGCCUCUGUCUGAGAUCACUAGAGAACCUAUCAAAUGUUGCAGGUAGAGAAUAGACACUGGUUGGAGAUGAAGGUGUUGAUCUAAUACUAGCAGGUUUUGUCUUCGAUUUAACUGCUUCCUUCUUAUCACUAACCCCAUUCAAAGCCUGUUUCGACAAUGAAGAUUUUGAUUUGGUCAGCAGUGGUUUCUUAUUUUCUGUCCCGAUGGUUUUGUGGGGAGCAUUUAUUUUGUCUAACUUGCUCUUUUCCUUUUCUAGUGACAAGAUGCCAGCAUCUUUCAAUCCAUUGGUUGUUUUCAAACCAUUGGUUGACUGCGCCUUCUUGCUGCCAAUACCAUUCGAAGAGCUAGUUAAUACAAGGUCCUCAGGGUUGCCAACACAAGCAUGGCGGCCAGGAACUGGUCGAACUCCCCAAAGGAUGGGCACCGGAGUGGCUGCCUCAAGGCGAUCUACAUGGAUGAACUGCCCUAACUGAAUCUUGUCACUCAAGAUGAGAUCAUGCUGUUCCUCAGGAAGCGAAACAUAUGUGGCAUGAGAAGAAUCAGACACCUUGAGGUAAAACCCUUGAUUGGUGAAAAGAUCACUCCCAGAAAGUGCUGGUACAAUGCUGACAACCUGAAGAAGGGACGAACGAUGCUCGCCUGCGACUUUAACAUCCGUAUUCAUAUGCUGAAGGAGUUUGACAAGGACACCAGGUACCAAUGACGCCAUUGCUGUAAUUCCUUGCGCGCAUUACUCUGUGAUGUUCAAAACAAUUCAACAAUUAGAUAAUCACACGAGGACAUGGAAGAAUCAGAACCCAAAAAAAGAAAGUUAUAAAUUCACUGGUAGGCAACUGGCUGGCCCUAAGAAACUGAAACUAAUACCCCUGAUUACAAUAAUGGUUGCAACUUUUCGUGAAUGCAAUUAUAUAAACCUGACUCACAAGUCACAAGGAACUAAAGUAGGAACUUUACAUUUACUGCUUGUCCUGAAUCAUAGUACUAUUAUUCAAAAUUGAAUCAGCAGAUAUGAAUUCAUAGCACAACUUGAAUAAUUCAUGCGCUGCUGUAAAAUGAUUAUUAGGAAGGACGGCAGCACAGAAGAAUUGGUGGCCGUAACCCAACAAUUUCAGCAAGAACAACAACAGAACAAUAGCACUAACAGUACACGAGCAUAUAAAUGAGUAUGUAAGAACUGUGCUACCAGGAAUGCAAUUAUGCAGUGAAUGAGAAAGCUGGUGCCAUUGCUUGCAAGCAACUGGAUUCAGUCCAAAGCAACGAGGGAGCCGAGCCCGGGACUGCGGCAGGCUCAACACAACUAACCCAGCGGCAAGAGCAGAUACUACCAGAAGGCAGAAGUCUCAUCAUGGCAUCAAUGUGGGCGGUGGUCCUGUCCUCUUCCUCCCAAAUCCAACAUCUUUUCUUUCCCAGCGGGAAAAUAAAAGUGGGGAGCGAACAGAAGAACACCGCCCACCAACCAAAUCUUCUGCGCCGAGUACUGCUACUUGCCCCUUAUCAAUUCCUCCGCAACCUUAAACAAAUGCCAAUUGGGAGAAGAGCAAAGGACGGCAGGCACCUCAGCAAUCAUGUACUGUAUACGAGUAGUUCAUAGAUGCUACUGCGCGUUGGUUCUCCCAAGAAGCGCCGCAGCAAGGGAGAGCUUCCAUCCACCCGAGCAAAGUUUACGCGACCACGAAUCAUGGGAGAAAUCAACGGGGGAACGGCGGUGCCAUCUCAAUGAAAUUGAAAUUGGGUCUUGGACGAGGCAACCGCUCCUCGAAUAAAAAAGGCAAAUCUCGCCAGAAGCAAGGGAAGCAGACGGGAAUUUAAUCAACGGCGAGGAACGAGACGAACCAACCUCUUGGAAGAAAUCCGUGGGCCUGGGAAUCAAUCAACCCUUCCUCCGCUCAGCUCCUCCUCCCCCUUUGCAGCGGCCGCACGGGAGGAAGAAGGAAUCGGGAAAGGCGCGCAGGGUCUCGAGACUCGAGUCCCCCUUCCGCCCACAGCACGCCGCCCGUGCCAGGCAGCGGUAGCGUGCUUGCUCCGCCGCUGCAACGACUGCAAGCCUACCUAUGAUCUUAGUCUGCAGCAGGUCCGGUCAGUGAAGAGAGCGUCCCGCCGCGUCACGUCACACCCAAGAACCAGAACACACCCUCCCCUCCCCUCCUCUCUAACUCUCUUAGCUUUGGCUGGUUUGCGGGGCGCCGCGCUCGGGAGGAAUGGAGAACGAGCUGGAAGAGAAAUGACGAAUGGGGGAGAGAGAGAGAGAAUGGAACGGAGACCGGUGGUCUCGUGCCUGCUUUCUCUCUCUUUGGGGGGAGAGUGGGGCAGCAGCUAGUAACCGCCCGUAGCAGAGCUGACAACACGCAACGCAACGCGAGGCUAGCCAGCCAGCCAGCCAGCGUCGUCCACUGUGCGAAGCCUCGGGUUGCGCAGUGUUCGUUGGGUGGGUGGCCUGUGACGCUGUGUGUGUGCGUUGUUGAGGUGGGGCGUUGCUUUCUUCCUUCCUCCCUUGGGAGUGGAGUGGGGCAAGGAGAGCGUACACAAUCCGGGUUCCUUCGAAUUUCUUUUGCCGGAGCGCCUGCUCCGAAAGAGAUAAGGGGUGAUGUACUCCUGUUUAGGAAAGGACUUAACGGCAAGACAGACGGUUCGUCAAUGAGAUUAUGGGAUCUUCGGGGCUGUUUGCAGUCAGCCGCAGCUCGCCCAACCGUCGUUGACUGUUACCUCAGCCAAGUCAAUUUUUUUGUUCACCACGUUCUAAUUUCACGCCCACGCGCUGGCGAGUUGGUGGCGGCAAAAUCCUUCGCCAACGAUUUGGCUUGCCCAUUUUGGCAGCGCAGCCUGGGGCGUGAUCCAAACAGUCCCUUCUUCCUUAGUUCAGCUUACCACGCGAUCCCUUUUUUUCCUUUGAUCUGUUGUUCCAUCUUGGUGCCACCUUCUGCUGUGUCCACGGUAGCCUUGACCCGCAACACCAUACAACAUAGUCCUAACUUACCUAAAUUACCUAUCGGGAGCCUGACGCCACACCUCGUGAACUCCCAUCCACCGUCAUUAUCGGUUCGGUACCCUCCAACGGUCAUUCUAAGCUAGAAAUGGGGAGGGGUGUCCUUACCUUGUCCGUCCGAUGACGAUGGUGGAAGAACUUCAUAAUUGAGAAGGAAAGAAAAAUCUUAUUGUGGUACUCCAUCCGUUCCGGUAUGUGGGCCCCACGCAUUUCUAGGUUGAAAAUUUAACUAAUCUAACACGGGUUUUAUAACGCAAAACUUAUACGAUUAGAAAAUUCGGAUGCUCUAUUUUCUAAAGGUAUAAUUUUGUGAUAUAAGAAUCAUGUUACAUUAGUUAUAUCUUCAACCUAGAGAUGCGUUGAGGCCCCUUAUACCGGAACGGAGGUGCUUUUUUUAAUAUCGCGUCAAUUGAACCUUUGGUAAUGCAAGUAAAUCAAAAGCGCAUGACAAAUGCCGUCCAUGACAUGUUGAAUUUUAAUGGACUGAAACACGAACCAUACCGGCUAACCUGUGGCCACAUAGUCCGGACGCCGUGAGAUUGUUAGAAUUCUUCAAGACAGAAUCGUUGCACGCUUCAGAGCACUUUUAUGGCAAUUUGAGGAGUGAUGAUUAACGAUUGCCCAUUUUAGCAUUCAAGUUUUGUUCCCAAGCGCGUGUCACUCUAUGCCCAAACUUGACGUCAAAUUAUGCACAUGCAUGCCCCAUCUUUUCGGCCAUUUCCAAUUCCAUUUAAUAGUAUGCGCUAAAGUGGCAUGCAACCUCCAAAGAUGGUAAGCGGCGUGACGAGGAGAGACAAAUAGUCAAAUAGACGACGCGGGUCUUUCUACAUGCAUCUUAAUUGAAAUGCAAAAUUUCAAAACUACGCAUUCGUGAGAAAAAUUGUCCUACGGUUCAACAGAUCAAAAACAACUAAUGACGCCGCCGUGAUUUCGUCAGGGUUUACGGCCGGGGAGGACGAGAGCCCAGCAGGGUGUUUGGAAAGGACGCCGUCCGUCCCUUUUCAGGUCGGAGCAAAAUACCGGCGAUCAGCAAUGGGUGAGGGCGCUCCGUGACCUGCUGCUUGACGCGCUAGUCUCACUUACCCAGUCACAGAGUGCUACCUAAUCGCAGCCUAAAAAUCUUCUAAGUUAACUAGCUCUACACCGAUGUAUUCACUUGUCAGUUAGGAGCACUACGUCACGAGAGCGUACAGGAGGUCAGGAGCUACGGUCCGAAGCAAGAAAAACAAAAAAUAAAGGUGGUCGGCCGUAUCAGCACUGCUGCUGCUGUAUUGGUCAGUGCAGCCCGAUAUUAUAUCAGUCAUGUUAGUUAAUUAAUUAAUUAAUACGGCGGGUGAUAGGGAUCCCGUAACCACCAUACGUAAUGCUACGCCGGUUGGUUAACUAAUCGGAGUACCCGGCAACCAGACGAGAGUGAUUACCGUAGCUACCUGCCGGCUGCCGUCAUCGCGUAGUGCAGCAGGCCAUAUGUUAGUCUCGUUGCUCCACCAGCCAUAGUUACUGCUUGAGCCUCUUACUGCUUUGAUUUGAUUUUAGCCUUUUGAGUUUGUAGUCAUUGGUUCCAUUCCAGGGAAGCCUCUUACUGCUUGAACCUCUUAGGUUCUGCCCUGUGGCGCCUCAGCGUCUGCGAAGCAGUAGAAUUUGGCCGAGAAAAAAAAAUCUCGUGGAGACAUUGACCCUCGUCAAACGAACAGAAGAUCGAAAGGAGUCGCUUUGGUGACAGCAAGCAAAGUAUAUAAAAACAUUGCACUCACAGGCGGACAACUGUUUUUGUUCCCUCUUUUUCUCGAGAAUCACUUGACAUUUGGUGAUCGAGUGAGUGUGCGACCGUUCGCACGUGGUUUCAUGCUUUCGUUCUGUUCCCCGGCCGCGCUGGCCACCGCCUGCAGAACGUGUUCCGACUUCCGGCGUUACCCGUCGACGUUUUUCCAAUAAUAAUCCGUUCGAGAAUCUCUAUCCAACAGUGCCGUGUACGCGCAUGUGGCUGCUGCUGGCGUGUCGGUAAUUAGUAAGCAGUCGGGCACCGGCCGAUGAACCGAGAGCUGCGCCGCAAUGCUCGAACAAACAUUCUCACCAGAAAAACCUGGCGAUGCACCUGCUGCCACACUUGGCUGUGCCACCGACGACCGAUUCAAAGAGCUGUGUAGCUGAGACCCUCGUAUCUGAAGUUCAUCAGCGCCGGUUUUGCCUUUGAAGCAGAAGUAUCCGUUGCGUGAGUUGUACCUCACACGGCUCUGCGUUUUCACUCAGAAUAAUUAAUAACUAACGGGAGUCAGGCUCAGCAAAGUUAUUGCUACUACACCCGUAAACAUCCAAAUCACCCGGGACGAUACAAGUACGCCGGCCCACGGACAGGGACGUACUACUGGGUAGAGUACGCGGAGACGAUCUAGCCAGGUGCGAACGUCACGUAGCGAGAGAGGAAAAGAUACGGUGGACGGGGGUCAAGUACGCUGGACCCGUAACAGGUGGUCCGCGGAUGCCACGGUACCACCACCACGGGCGUGCCCACACGUACUAGCUCGUCGUGCGGGGCGCAUUUCCGGACAGCUCGGAAAGGCGAAAGCCGCGAGCGACGGACGGCGCUCCCUCUCGUAGCAUAGUCCCGGUCGCAGCACGUGGGAGGAGAGGACCUGGCCGGCCAACCGAGGUCACCUGGCUCCGCGCCGGCGCUGGCGAACAGGUUGGGGAGGCACGGGAGGAUCGGUAUGCCGUAUGCGGAAGAUUUAGGGAAUUGGCUUGGUGUACUUGUGUGCUGGUAGUAGUAGGCGGCACGCACCGCGCCACACUGGCCAUCGCUGUAGUAUAGCCUCCAGGUUUGUUCGUUGAGAAAAUUGACAUAGUAUCAUUAGGAGAAACCUAAGGUUACAAAAUACCGCUAAAAAAGUCGAGCUUUUCGAAACACCAUCACUAUUCACAUUAUUUUUUCCAAAGUACCACGGCGCGCCGUGAGAUGUCAAUCUGUCCCGUCAGUCAAACCGUCUAAAAAAAAGGAAAAGGAAAUCUUCUGCCCUCUGACCCGACCUCGUCUCCUCCCCAACCUCCUAUCCAUGGCGGCCGCGCCCCUCCUUCGCUCCUGCGCCACAUCGCCGCCGGCCGCGUCCGCGGCUCCCCCUACUCGCGCCGCUCUCCCCCGCUGCUGCACACCGCCCCCGCCGCUGCUGACCUCGCCGACAGGCUCCACCAUGCACGAGGCCGCCCAUCGUUUUCCUUCGGCGACCCGCAGCAGCCCUGCAGGAAGCGGGGGAAGGUUUUGGCCUUUUGUGGGCGGAGAAGAGGUCAAUCGCGCAUUCACGCGUCCGGCGAGCAGAGGUCAGGAGGCGACGAGGAGGAGGACGCGCGGUGUUGUCGGUGGCACCGCCGUUGCCGCACCUCGUCUUCGCCUACUACAUCACCGGCCACGGCUUUGGCCACGCCACCCGCGCCCUCGACGUCCGGACCUCAUCUCCUCUCCUCCGCUCUUCGUCAUCAGACGUCUCUAUUAUCUUCGCGUGGUAUCUGAAGCCCCUUCCUGCCUGGGUUUUGACAGUUUGAUUAACGGGCUAGAUUGACAUCUCAUGACGGUGGUACUUUGAAACCAAAAAAUGAAUAGUGAUGGUAUUUUGGAAAGAUUGACUUUUUUAUUGGUAUUUGGAAUCUUAGGUUUUAAGUAGUGGCAUUGCGUAAAUUUUCUCUUGUUUGUUAAUGCAGGAUGGCAGGGGGCAUGGGCGAUCUUGGCUAGUCGGCAACCGCGGCCAAUCCAUACAUGAAGAUGAAACCGAGUAAAGUACUCGGCAAUCUGUCAGGUGUCAUUUUUUUUUUGUACUUGCUUGUGUGCCGGGCAAAGCAGUAGAUUCCCAAUGAAAAUUGCAGCCCAUCAUAUAAAAAAUCUAGUACGUACUGCCUACGGGCCAUGUCCCAAAAUAGAUUAAAAUACACCUACUCUGUGACAUACGGAGUACAGAUAGUAGUACGAGUAGUAGUAUCCCCGCAUGCUGGAACUUUAUUUUUUUCAGAAGGUACAAUGUCUGAUCGAAGGUACUGUAGCACAGAAAACCGACCCACUACCUUCCCUUUCCUGAGGACAAGCGCCCCAGGUCAAUUGUUACAUGACGUGCCACCUGUGGCGUUGGGGUGUAUAUACGACUAUACGAGACUCGUGUAGUACGAUCUCACGGAUUACUCUGGUCUGAUUAUCAUGUCAUUGAUUGGUUAUUGUCCUACACAGCGAAGCACCGGACUCGGUUCGGAGUCGGAGCACGUGGAACGGGGACACGUCCUGCGCCGGCGCCGACACGGCAUGCAGCGUUUCGCACCUCCUGUUGCCGGCCAAUACGUGCCGCCGGAGCGCCGCGCCCGCGCGGAACCUUUUCGGGGGAUUCGACGGCGAUAGCAGGACAGGAGCGACCGAGCAACAGCAGUGUUUGUUUUGUUGUUUUGACGAAUAUGUUGGGUUGCUCUGAUCUCUGUUGUGCUUGCCUCCAGAAUCGAACUCGCUUUGCACCUAGCGACCUCCCGUGUGUUCUCACGCCUCUUCCUCCUCUUCUGCUGCUGCCCAUUCUCAGUCCUAGGUGCCAUGCCAUGGACGAUUGGCCUCCUGGGACCUCAAGUUGAUCGGCGCCACUAAGCUUUGAGCUGGGAUUAUGGGGAAUGGAUGCAGUGUCUACUGUCUCCGGAUCAGGCUUCGGCAUGGCUCUUUGUUGUAUCGGUGCCGAUUUGUAAAAAUAAACAACAAUUAUUACAAAUCCAUGAAGAUAUUUGCAAAGCUCUGUAGUGUCAGUUCACAACAUUAAUUGGCACAACAUAGCUCGGCCUCGGUCACUGGCAUAAAUGCCUGAAUCCGCGAAAGCGGUGUCUGAAAUGUUGGUGGAGAGGUUACGUAAAUCAGGAUUUUUACGUUGCUUAGGUUAACGGGUUCAAUGUAUUUCAGAUGUGUAUUGCGUCUAUUGCGUACACUAUGGUGUUAUGUUGCAAUUGUUCCUGAGUGUGUUGCACGGUGUUACUUUCAAGCUCAAAUGUGUUUUGUUUAUGUUAUUUCUAAAUGUGCUCAAGUAUGUUUUUGGUUACUGUGUAUAUUAUUUCUGCCGCUUACACUUUUAUGUUGCAUAUGUUAUGAGCAAUGUUUUUGAUGAUUCUGUUGCAAAAAAAAAAUUGGAUUUGUUGCAUGCCCAAAGAAAAUUGUUGUGAAUGUGUUUAAAAUGUUUUAACAUUUUUUUAAUAAUUUUUAUAGUCAUGAAGAAAAUGUUGUAUACACACAAAAUAUGUUGCAACCCAGAGUUUGAUGUUUUGAUGAGAAUGGUCAAGAUCAGGCUGUUUAAGUAGAUAAAUGUUGCAUGUUGCAGGCCAGAGUUUUAUAUACUCGCACAUCUUUUUCAUAAAUAUCAAGGUAAUACAGUGUUCUUUUUUAGAUAAUAAUGAAGGGAACACAAUAGUUGGUGCUAGGGUUUCAGAAAUCCCAUUUGAAGUAUAGUAAAUAUUCAAGCUGGAGGUCUGUCAACAGGGGUUUGAUGAUUCCCGCAAAAAAAAAAAAAAGGGGGGGGGGGGUGUUUGAUGAUUGACAAAACCCUCAAACCUGUGAAAAGAUGACUUCGAUUAGUACUUCAUACUAGUACUUCUGGGAACGAAGCAAGAUGACUUCGACCACUACUAAAUUCAAGGACCUUGGCUUCAGUGGUUAUGAUAACUUGGCAUAAGUUCAAACAACGUGGCACCGGCUGCAAGGCUCCACAACAGUUAACUUCACUUUAGAAGGAACAGCUCCCUCAAUGUAUGUCCUGAUGGCCAAGAGCGCCUUACGAGAUUCCAGGAUAAUAUCCCUCCCAAUUGGGAAGCAUUCACCAAACUUGUUGACAGAACACCUGGAUAAACAAUGUCCCUCUGUAGUGUCCAAUGUAAUAUACUCAAGUGAUGUUGUAUUCACAAGAAUAUGGCAUGCUAGCUCAACCAAGCUCUUUGCAGAGGAGAAACCAACGAUCGUCACCCUCUUGAGCUUGUUAUGGCGGUGCUCUGGCAUCUGCCUCAGAUCUGAAGGAUCAUCAGCAAAGAUCGAUGGCUGCUGCAAGCUUGUCCACGACACCUGAAGACAAGAAGCCAAGAUAUUUCAAUUUAGGGUUCCACCAUAAUUACUGAUAUCUUUGCAGGGUCAACAGUGACUUACAUUCAAAUAGAAAGUCUCCAAGGAAGGAGAAGCAUCAAAAAAGGAUAUCACAGAACAAUAAUCAUAGGUCCGGGGGAAUUUCCCUGCGACAAGAUCAACACUCAAGUGCUUGAGGAGUGAAAAUUUGCUAGGCAUCAUCGGUAUACUGACCAUCUGCAUAGAGAUUUCAGAUUAAUCAUAUACAAAUAUAUGGCUACUGUAAUAGUAUCACAAUACACAUCACAAUUCCAGUCAUCAGAAGAUUUGGAGUAUACCUCUCGACGUGAAUGUACGAAAAGAGUCUCAAGAUUUGGCGCACUGGACGGAAGCUCGGCACGAGCAUAACAGAAUGCAGCACGGCAUUCUAUGUCUAGCCUUUUCAAUUGUAAUGCUUGUCCAAGUGAGAUUCGUACAUGGUGGUGACCAACAAAAGUAAAACUGGAGAGAUGUUGAGCGUCGCUUUCUAUUGCCUGCAGUCUAUUACAUUCAAACACCUCAAGGUAGCUAAGCCGCUGCAUCAUACGAGAUAUCUUCAGGCUAAUUAUCUUAAGGCAACGCUUGAGUUUCAACUGCUCCAAAGCAAAAGAGUUGUGAAGAAGACAGGCUAACUCAUCCUUUGUGAUACGGACAUCACAAAGAUGGAGUCCAGUCAAACUUCUUAAGCUAAGCCUGACAGUGGGACGCAAGGCACAGUCAGAAAGGUUUAGAUACCGAAUCAAGUUUCAACUCCCAUUCGAUAAAAGUGACCAUGGGAAAUUGUAUGUUUUUUUAUUCCACGGCAGCUGGACUGAGCUGAAGCCAGCGAUCAAGAUAAGAUGCAUUAACAUUGUAAUUAUAGAACUCAAGCUUGAAUUUCUUCAUGCCAGUGCCUGAGUGUUUCAUUAAAAUUUGGUCAACUUGGCUGCUGAGAUCUUUUGCUGUUUCUUCCCAUCCACGCACAUUUUCAUUCAUGCACAAUAUCUUCCUACUGAAUGUGAGGUUGGGAUGGCAUCUCCAGGAACGUAAAAAGGCAUGCGAAAUGCAGGCAGCUCGGGCGGCAUCUCUCAUUGACAUUAGAGAAUGUAUAUGACACCAGAUUUCCUGCAUCCAGAAUGAUAGGGAAAAACAGAACAUCGUAAACUGAAUUUGUCAAUUGGACAAAUAAAAAUAAUAGAACCACGUGGAGUAACAUUCUACCCCACGUGCUUUCGCGUGAUUGCACAAAAUGCAAUGCAAUACAAAGGCAUACAUGGCAUUGGAAUGUGUGUAAAUGUGCAUGUAAUGUAUAGAGAAGUUUAUUCCCUUAAAAGUCUUAUCAGCGGUUAUAUAUAAAAACUCUAAAAACUUCUUAGUAAUGGCUGGUACUUAUCUACUAUGAGUAAAAUUAUUGUCUCUUUGCACAACUGACAUACAACACUGUAGCAGUGUGUCCCACUGCUUUUUGACAAAAUUGAUUGGUUUCCCAGUUCAGCUAUUGUAGGUUGUACAUGGUUGUAGGCUCAGCCAUAUCUUGCACUGACCAUAUUUCUUUUAGCAAAAACAAUUAUGGAAAAAGGUCCCUGCUGUAGCUUAUGUAAGAAAAGGAUGUUCUGGAUUUCUGGUCUUGUUACUUGGCAACAGAUAUAUCUUUCAUCUGUAUUAAAUAUAUAUAUUUUUGAGAGGUCAGCAGGAGCUCUGCCUAUUCAUUAAGGAGUAACAAAGUUAUUUACAAAUAAGAAUGCCAGCCAGAACAAUUUUCUGUAUUACAUACGAAUGCAAAUAAAAGGUAAGAUUGUUUUUCAAAAAGGAGGGAACCCCCCAGCCUCUGCAUCGAUCGAUACACACAGCCGUCAUAUUAUUAAAGUAUCAAGCAUCCAGCAUACAAGUCUCAAAAGUUACAGAUAACAAAAUAACGAACAAGAGAACAUCACACGCCCUCAAGUCGCAGACCCGCGUGCCAUCAUCACAGAAGGAAUGCUGAUGAACAAGUGAUAUUUUAGUGGAGUAAAUACGCAGUUAGUGUUAUUAUCAGAAAGAUUUUGUGGAACUAUUGCAUUUCAAGAUCAUCUACUAGUCUACUAGUUAAACCGUCAGUAACAACUGCACAAGGAUAAAUAAUACAGAAGUGACAGAACUGUAUCGAUAUGCGUUAAUCGUUAGAAAUUGGAAGGAGUUGCAUGCGAUAGCAUCAAAACUAUCAUCAGUAGAUUAGUGGCCACAUAAAAAUGUUUACUGAUCUGAGAACUAUCAAGGAUGGAUCCUAAAUGUGCAUGGGACUUCCUUCGUAAGAUGCGGAGGCUGAGGAUAAGUAGCCUACUGAGGAUAUGUGCUGGAAAAAUCAUUAAAAUAAACAAUCUAGAUUCUAGACGAUAGCAACCACAGCAAGAGACGUAAAGACCAUUGCUAAGAGCCUUAAGAAAGGUAGCUCUACGAAACUGAACUGUCAUCACAGACAGUUUUCUGCAGACAAGUGGGAGCUGCAUUAGGCACUAACACACUUGGACUGCAGAAGACUGCAGCACUCAAAUAUUUUUUUAUUUAGCUUGCGCAGAAGAAGAAAUUUGUGUAGAUAGAGCAAUUAUAAUGAUCAUUUGUUUGCAAUAUAGGUCUUUCGUUAUUAGCAUUUGUAAUUUGCUUGGAUAUAGGUCUUUCAUUAUUAGCAUAUGGUCACAUACCUCUGGAAGGAUUGGCCCCAGAUAUUUCAUUCUUUUGCCACCUUCAUAAUCGCGAUCUUCUUGGAAGGGCGAUGACUUUCUUUUACUCACAGAAGCGGGAGAACCGUCUGCGAGACAUAAGGCAUGGUUAUGAAUAGCACACAUUAACAGAGCAAAACAACUCAACACACAGAUGCACAUGCUGAAUUAAUAAAUUUCAUAUCUUAUCCAACUUUUGGUCAACAGACUGAUGAUUUUUUUUAUUGUUGAGAAUCCAAUUUGAGAAUGCAGAACAGUCAACAACUUAGAGUUAGAAACCCCAACUUGUUUCAGUUAAUGGGGAGAAAGCUUGAUUUGACCAUACAUAUCCCUGCAUAACUUUGCGAUCUCACCCAAGUAUUGUCAAUGCUGUUCAAACCAAUAGAAUAUGAUACGCUAGUCUAUAAUCCAGUACGAUCAAUAUCAUUUACCAAUCAAUUUUACACCAGCUUAACAGUGCAUUAGCUUCCUUGCUACCUUAGAAUGGUAGCACAUGGGGCCUCCCAAAUCUGAUGUCGUGUUUGUCCGCUUAGACUCCUACAGGAGGCAGCGGUAAGGAUAGUGUUCGAGUGGCUACUGAUGUCGCAUCCAGAACCAAAAUGUACUGCUAUAUUAGUACAGUAGUAUAUCAAGUCAAUGGACAUUAUAUUUAUCUUCAGAUCUCCUUGAAAUUGGCCCGUUUUAUCUUCAUGAUGAAGCCCACACUGGGACGGAAAGGGGCUUGUCUUCUAACCACCAAAGUAUACGGGUAAGAUUUACGCUCAAAUAAACAUCGCGUUGCCAGCUUAGACCAACCCAAAUGAAUCUGCUUGCUCUCCACAAACUUAAAAAUAACCAGCUUUCUCUCCCGUAAACGAAUAGAAGCUAAAAAAAGGAUCUUUUUUUUUGUACAUACACAGCCUAGUCCUGUUGUAGGAGAAUAUAAAGAACAAGAUGCAGGUGCCAGGGCAGAGAGGCCGGGGAGCUAACAAGAGGUGGCUUACCGUGGGCUUGGAUUCGCUGGCGACGCCGAUCCCGCUGCGCGGACAUGAACCGCUUGAGCGCCAGAAGCCCCAUGAUACGACGACGAUGCCUUGGGUCGAGACACGAAAUCUGUUUUCCUCUCUAACCUCUGCCUCUCUUUCGUUGCUCUAUUUAUUUCAAUCUACGGAGUCCGGCCUUCUAACAAAUCUGGACCUCGAUUUGAAACCAACAAGACACGAGGGAUGAAUUCGCGUCGGCGCCGGAAGGCGGGGCUUACAUAUCAGGGAACUCUCCAGAUCUAAUAUUUUGGCCUGACGGAUAGCCCUAAAACCUUGUUUGGUCAUUUACCUAAAAAAAAAAGGUUUGUUUGGUCAUGUACGGAGCUUGUCCCCAUCGCCGCUGCGCUCGUCCUCGGAGUUCGUCCCCCUUGCCGCCGCGCUCGUCCCUGGAGCUUUUCGCCGGCGUGCUCGUCCCCUCGACACCGGAGAUCUCUGCCACCUGGUCGUCCACCUCAUCGCCGGAGCUAGCCGCCGCCUCGCUUGUCCCCAUCGCCGCUGCUAGCUGCGCCUGUGCUCGCCGCCGAGGACCCGUCCUCCGCCGGAGCUCGUCCCCAUCGCCGCCGCUAGCUGCGCCUGCGCUCGCCGCCGAGGACCCGUCCUCCGCCGGAGUUCGUCCCCAUCGCCGCCGCUAGCUGCGCCUGCGCUCGCCGCCGAGGACCCGUCCUCCGCCCGAGCUCGUCCCCAUCGCCGCCGUUGGCUGCGCCUGCGCUCGCCGCAGAAGACACGUCCUCCGCCGGAGCUCGCCACCGCCGCUUGCCCACCUCCAUGCCCUGGCCGCCAUCUCUCUCAUCUCCUCGAUCGUGGCCGUCGACGGCGCAGCGGGCCUGGAGUGGGAGCGAUAGCGUGAGGCGGGGAGUGGGAGCAGGAGAUCGGCGCGGGAGCUGGAGGUGGAUGGGCCGCAUGGGGAGACGCCGCGCCGUGCGCUGGACGGCUCGCCGAGGACCAGCCCAACCAGUCCAUGGUGGCGGAAGGGGAAGAUGGAGAAGACGAUUUUUCUCUUUCUUUUUUUUCUAACUGAAGUUUGACCUCCUAACCAAACAUGAAACUGGUUGGUCCCGCCCUUUUCAACCAAACAUGAAAGCUGAGUGGUUCCACCUCUAAAAUCUGGUUGGAGCCAACCCACCCACGUCACUCGCCAACUAAACACACCCUUAAUGGAAUCAGGAGCGUGCUCCUUUUCUCUAUAGAAAAAAGUUCCGAUUCUACUUUGUAUUGUCAGAUUCUGAUGCUACUGUGUGCUCCUUAAUCUAUUGUGUUCAUCGUGCGCAUUGCUGAAGUUUCGUUCAUGUUGGCUGUCUACCUAAGUGUAUUUGGAGUAGUUGUUGAUUGUCAUUUGGAGUAGUUGUUCGCACAGAUUGUCAGUUUCUCGACGGAUGUAGUUCCGCUGACGCAGAAAUCUGAGGCUGGGAGCCUGGGUAGGCACUUGUUUAGGCAGCCCAGUACUUGUCUUUUCUGUUUUUAUGUUGAUCUCAUUGUGUCGCUGAUUCGCCAUGUUUACGGAGUUGUGUGUUGUUUUGAUCUCUGAGUUUUACUUUCUUGGUCAACUGAAUUUAUUUGUGAAAAACGAGCAGGGGUGAGGUGGGAGAUGCGAGCCACUUAUUUGGGGGUAGAUGUGUGUGAAGUGUUUGAGGUUUCGGGUUCAUCUUCAUAUUCGUUUGUAAUUUGCCACACCUUGCAGAGUCAAAUCUUUCUACUAAUACCAAAUUUUGCCACGCAUAAGGUACCAUUUUUAUUUUGCGGCAGCAUUGAUCUAAAUGUUAGUUGUAACAAGUUAUGCAUUACACUACUACAGAAAAGUUUAUCAGUAACGGUCGAAAAACAACAUCAGUAACGGUCGGGGCCGCCGUUACCAACUUCGUCGCAGUGACCGUUACUGAUGCAUAUAUACAUCAGUGGCGAGCGGGCCGACCCAACCGUUACUGAUGUAUAUAUCAUCAGUAACGAUCGCAUUGCCACAUCAGUGUCGGUCGAGCGACCGAUGCUGAUACAUUUUCGGUAUUUAAAAAAUAAUUAAAACCACAGAAAAUACACAUAAUAAUAUAUACAGCACAGAAAAAUGUAUCUGAUCACAGAAAAAUACAUAUAAAGCCGCAUCACAUCACAUCAAAUCACAUCAUUUAAAGCAUACAAAUGUAUAUAAGCCGCAUCAUUUAAAGCAUAUAAAGAAUACAAAUGUAUCUCACUUCACGACAUUGAUUACAAAGUGUCAAAAUUUCAUAGAAGCAUAUAAAGAAUACAAAUGUAUCUCAUUUCAAGCUUGAAGCUAUUGUCGUGGGUGAAUCCUAGACACCACUUGUUCCACGCGUUCGUAGAAGUUCUCACUAGGCUUGAUGACCUCAUUGUUGAUGAGAUGGGCGAACUCCCUUUGAAUGUUAUACACGACCCAUUUAGGUCGGUGUCCCAUUGUCAUUCGGGGCCGCCAGUACUCUUCCAUCGCCGCGACUGACCCCUUCCACUCAGGCUUGAACAUGCUGGCAUUCUCCAUAAGGAUGUGACAGCAGUAGUAGCCACAGAACACACUGCCGGGCGGCUGUUGCUGGCAAGGGAACCUGUGGUUGUGGUGAGUCUCGUCUUUAUAGCCUUUACCAGUUAGUUUUCCCUUGCCGCCACUUUCCAGGCAGUGUUAAUGACUGAUUCGAUGGGUUUCUAGAACUGGCCUCGAACACACUUCUUCGAAAGUAGUGAAUCGAAGUAGUACACCACGGACAAGGCAAACAAAUGAGUAGUGUCACCAAUGGUCUCUGUUUUCAAAAGAAACAAACUUUAGUAUCUAAGGGUGUAUAAGAAAGACUGAAUUAGAAAAAACAAACGGUUCCAUAUAUAAAAUUGAACUUACUCCAAAUUAAGGAAGAAGAGGAUAAAGUCGUGGUCCGCGUAUUUCUCGAGACAUGCCACCAAGUAUUUAGAUGCCAUGGUUCUUGAGGGAUCCUUUUCUGACUCAAGACCGAUGUCACCGUAGUUGAACAUCGCGGGGUCUAGAAUGGCUACUUUUUUGACCUCCAUUCGCCGCAGUUCUCUUAUUUGGUAGGCAGACCACAGCCUUAAGAGGUUGACAUCAAGCUUUUGGCGGUUGAAGAGGUGGAACAGUUCGUUGAACUCCACACCAAAGGUGAUAGGACGUUCCUGAAUGUUCCCGGUUUCUUGGUCAAAGAAACCAUAGUCUUUUGGGAUUCGAACAUUGAUUUGGUGGGCAUGCUGUUGAGAACCAGCUGAUGCUUGCAUGUAGAACUGAUGAUGCUCUUGCAUCUCUCUGGACAAGGCACGCAGGAAAUCUUCGGUGACCAACGGUCUUUUAGGAUAGUAAAUAAGCACCCGGUCAAACUCCCUAGCCACGAAAUAGGAUCCGUCUUCGAAUCUCUGGCCUUGACGGGGGUUCUUUAUGAGAAUGUCAGGCCUAUUGUCCUCCCAGACUCCAGUUAUGUCAGGCACAUAGUGCAUCUCAUCUUGAGUGACAUUGGAGGACUCCGUGAUGGUCUUGCCGCCACGCCCCCUCUUUUUAUGCCUCUUCUUAUUGUCCCAUGCCUUCUGCUUCUCUGCCUUGUACUUGUCAUCGAUCUUGCGGCCACCCAUGGACUCAACGGCACCCAAGAGAGAGAAGGUAGGAGGGACGCUUCCAGCCUGUGCCGACCCUGUGGUCUGGCUAUCUUUGAGCUGUGGAGGCAUUGACAUUGCCCGCUCUUCAUCUCCGCCGGCAUCGACAGGAGGUAGUAUCCUAGGGGAAAGGCCGAGCGGUGAUUGAGAAGUACCUUUGUGGGCGGAGGGAGAUGGAGUCAUAGAGGGCUGGUGCUGGUUGUAGAGAGAUACCAAGCUCUUAGGUCACAUAAUGCGGUAGUUUGGACAACCGCUUAGGAUAUCCACGCCUUCCUCCAGAGGUAGCAGGAUAGCAUAAUCCCGAUGCUCCUCGACGACGGAGUCCACCAUCACACUCACUUGUGCGUCGUUCAUAAGAAUGUCGUGCACCAGUGGCGGUGAUUGUCUGGGCAUCAGGCGGACAAUGGCGCCUACAGGCUUCUCAGGCUUGUCUACGUGGAUACGACACUUCACCGGUGCCUGCGCGUAACAAGAAGAAGGGAUAUGUGUGUAAGAUCUUUAUUCAUGAAGGUAAGGAGUGAAAAAGAGUUUGAAAAAUAUGCUUACAAGGAUGUUGUCGCUCGGACCCGGAUCGUUAUACCGGAUGCCCUCGCUUGGGUCCGGUUGGCUAGUGGGGGGGUUGUCCAUGCUAGGAGCCGAACUAUAACCUGGGGUGUAGGUGUCUUCGUCGUCCAUACGUGUGUCGGAGGCGGCGCUGCUCUUUAGCGGGGUGCUCUUUCGCGGGGGAAGCGGAAGAAGAGGAGGAAGGAGGUUUCUCAAACCUUUCACUCCUCCCCCGAGUAUGGCGUCAAAGGCGGGGUGGUCUUUGGCCAAUGCCAACACCAAAUGAUGGACGGAUUGCACUGCAUAUUCUCGCGAAACCUCUUGAGACACGAUAGAUGCCUGCUCUCGCGCCUCUGCCUUAGCUUGUUCUAUUAUUUCAGCAGAAGCGGGGAGCUUUUUCUGGAUCCUGCUUCGCUUCGGAGCAGGCCGGAAAUAAUCAUCCCAGCAGGCCCCUUCGCCUUCAACUCGGCCACCUGCCGUAAGAUACCAGACAGUCUUUGUCGGCCUGUCCUUCAUCACUUCUUCCCCAUCGUCUUCGCCAGCUCUGGCGCUUUUCCUCUUGUAUCUCGAUGCACCGCAUAUGUGGCAGGUCUCAUGGUUCUCGUACUCUCCAAUGUAUACCAUGCAGUCGUUUGGACAUGAAUGAUAUUUCACGCAAUCUAAUCCAAGCAGGCAUGUAAUCUUCUUCGCAUCGUAUGUGUUCUUGGGCAACUUGUUUGGCUGUGAAAAAACCGAAGCAAGGUAACUCAACAAGUCCGUGAAGCUCUUGUCUGACCAGCAUGAUGCUGCCUUCAGCCUCAAAAGUUCGAGCGCCACUUCGAGCACGUUGUUUUCUUCGCCAGCUCCAUCAUACAAGGGUGUGUUUGCGUCCUCCAACAAUUUUUUGAACUGAGCAGACUCUGCCUCAUCUUCGGGGUCCUCCAGCUGGUCCCGUAGGUACAGCUCAUCUAGCAUUUCGGCAAUCCUACCACGUGGACCUCCUUCACGUUUCACAUUAGCCUCCUCAUCGACCCUUGUUUCUUCCUCGAAAUCAUUCGCCAGAUCAUACCACAGGACAUCAUCAUCUUCGCUACCGCUACUAACAUCAACCGCAUCCUCCCCGUGACAAGUCAAAUGAGAAUAGCCUUCCACAAAACCCGAUGCCAGCACGUGCAUAUGAACAUCUUCAGGCUUCAUCAUGCAUGUGUUUCCACAUUUGCGACAUGGACAACGCAUCAUCACAAGUCCUUUUCGUUCCAUAUCACUUUUCGCGACUCCAAAAAAGACCGUCUAUUCGGUUAUCCAUCGAGCAUUGAUUCUUUACUUGGCGUACAUCCAAGAACGGUCCUUCGAUCUACAACACAAUACACAAGAAAACAAACAAAGCAAAAUAGUUAGCCUAAUCAUUGACAAAGGGAUUAAGGUGUUAAUUAACCGGAGCUAACUAAAAAUUUGAAAUUAGAGACAUUCGGAGAGAAAUUGGAGGUCGGCGAGAAAGAUCGGGAGGGAGAGAGAGCUCGUAAGGGAGAGGAAAGGUCCGGGCGACGACGAGGAGGCCGCAUUUUGGCCGGCGGCCGGAGCUCAAAAAUUUGAAAUUGGAGAACUUCGGAGAGAAAUUGGAGGCCGGCGAGAUAGAUCGGGAGGGAGAGUGAAGCUUCGGGGUCGAAGAUCGGAGCUUGCCGGCCGCCGGAGCUCCAAAAAUGGAGCUCGGCGGCCAUGGCCGCCCGCCGGCCAUGGAGACGGCGGCCGCCGGCGCGGGGGGGGGGGGGGGGGGGGAGAGGAGGAAGGGAGAGGGAGGAGGGGCUACCUGGGGGGCAGGCCGGCAGCCAUGGCGCCGUCGGGCAGCGCUUCGCCGUCGCCGGAGAAGAAGGGCCGCAGCUGGUCCGUUACGACGCGUAGCGCGACCAGUUGCGGCUCUGUUCUUCGUAUUUAAACCACGAUACUCAUCAGUGGCGGUCGGGAAUUGAGCGACUGUUACUGAUAAUAAGGGGUACAUCAGUAACAGUCGCGUUAGGGUGCGACUGUUACUGAUGUAUGGUUCAUCAGUGGCGGUCGUCUCUUAACCGACCGCCACUGAUGUCUCUCGCGAGGUAUGAUGGUUCAUCAGUGACGGUCGCCUCGCGCGACCGCCACUGAUGUGUGGCCGGGCGGGGACGGGCAGACCCUGCUCUGUUCAUCAGUAACGGUCGCGGCCGCGACCGACACUGAUAUUGUUCAUCAGUAACGGUCGCGCCGGACCCGUUACUGAUGUGUCGUUGCAUAUAGACCGUUUUGUAGUAGUGUUAAUAAACGCUAGCACAGAGUGCUCGUGCGAUGCUACGGAACAAACUAAUACAUGACAUACGAAAUGAUUCUAUUUCAUAGAUGUUAACUAUGCCAAUGCAUUUCUAAUUCUCACUCAAAGUUUAGCGUCAUGGAAUAAAAAGUUCGUAUGUACAUAUAUAAUGCAAGGUGGUUCUACUUCAUGAACACAAAUGCUAAGUUGCAGUUCUAAAUCUUUACUACUCCUUCCAUCCCAUAUUAAGUGACUUUUUAUUACAUGUAUCUAGACAUUUUUUAGGCAUAGAUACAUCCAUAUUUGGACAAAUUAGAGUCACUUAAUAUAUGUGACGGUUGCAAUGAUAGAAAGAACCGUAAAUAUCCACGGAUGUUGUGGCCUCAGCUAAUAUGCUCCAGUUUACCGGUAAGUGUUAUAGGUAACAAAAACAAGCUGAAUUUUUUAGCACUCAGCUAGCCAAUUGUCCCCCAUAUAACUGUGACAGGUAUGUGGAUUCAUUAUAAUCUAUACGUAAAUACAGAUUUCUUGAUGAGUCUGCCUAGAUAUCGGAGCAAUCUUGGUUCAUACCAACCGACAAAAAAAUAGAUGAUUAUAUAUGCACCUGAUCAUAUGUAUUUUGGGGGCAACGUUCCAACUUGCAAUGAUAUUUUCUUCCUCUCCAAGAGAAGUUACAAGGGUAUGCUUAGCAAGGCAGUAGCAGAAAUGUUUGGUUCUGUGACAUGAAAUGCCGAGAAUGCAAUCAACAUUUUAAUAGCAAUAUUAUUUCCUGAGCAAACGACGUGCACGGUGAUUUGCUCCUUUAACCCUGGAGUUGAGUUCAUCCACAUCAUCCUCUAGACCAUUCAUCCUUUUGUUCUGCCUGCAAUUCGAAAUGCAUAAGGACAAAAACAUUCAGCAGGCGCACAUGCACAUAGCCAACAAAUAAAAGAUGAAAUGGAUUAUUCGUUGUAAAUUUCACUCAAAAGAUUCCUUUUUAGUUAAAUUUGCUCUUAGAAAGUGUCAAGAAAGUUUUCUCAUAAAUUUGAUAUAAUUUUUAUCAAACUUUAAGAAGUUCGACUUAGGAUAAAGCUAGGAUUUGUAUUUAGGAACAGAGGUAGUAGUUAAUAUCCAGAAUAUUGGGUGCGUGUAUAAAAAAGCAACGGAUAAGGAGAAUGGAUGUAUUUGGGAAGCAAAAGCAAUGAAUAAGUACCUCAGACAGCAAGCUCUAGGCCAUCUCAGGCUAAUUUCUAAAAGCUCUAGCCUUUGUACACAUCAUAGUUGGAUGAUAGCUGGUCCCCUCUUCCAAAUCACAAAUUGCACCCAAAGUCAUAUGAUUCCUUUUAGCAAGGGAAAUUGGGCCAUCAAAUUUGUGUGAGCUUUUUUAUCUUAUUUUUUGUGUAAUGUGCACAGUAAACAGGACAGACGAUUUUAUAUUAUUCUUGCAUAGUGAAAACGAUGCUACCUGCAACCAUGUGCUGGCUGCCUGGCUAAACUAAAACUUUGUAUGGACUGCUACUGCUAAUAGCUUGUAACCACACAAGCUGGCCAACACAUUAUAUAAUCGGUCUCUUUUUUGUGUGUGGUAUGAGGCCAUGUACACUUGCUACUUUUCUUAUAGGAUUUAUUAAUAUUAUACAUACGGUUAUCAUCUCAGAUGCACAGCAACUAAUGCCCUUUGGUUUAGCAUUAUCAUGAAUGAGCUCCAUCCCAAAUGAUACUAACAACGUAACAAUCAACCUAAAUCCUCUGUUUUACUACUGGUAGUGAAUAAGAUAGGGCCUAGGGGGUUCUGGAAAUUUGAAGUUUGUAGCAUGGAAGUGGACGGGCGUGCAGUACAGCCGCUGCUGUUGCCCUGAACAGGAGAAGAGUAAGUCUCCAGUCUCCUCUGCGCGUAAGGGAUCCACCAUCAUCAAACGAAACGCGAGCGGCACCGGAACAUAAGAAACGGGAUUAACGAACCAAAUCAAAUCCUCACAAAUCCAUCCUAAUAAACGAACCAUGGGAAUUAGGAAGUAUUUACCAGUGCUGAGAGAAGCCACCACGGAUCUAGAUGAGCACUUCACCACGGAGAAAGCUGGAGUGUUCCCGGCUCUCCCGCGCGCCCUCUCCCGUUCUCCCGUGCCUCCUCGCCUCCUCCACGAUCUUCCCUUGCGGGCCCGAAGUGGCCCCGUUGGGUGGAAGGAGCCCAUAGAGGAGAUAGUCAAGGUGGACCGGAAAUGGUUCGCGAGAAAGCCUAGAGAUCGAUCUCCGGACCGGCGGCGGAUCGGCUUCCGUCGAUCCAGUCACCCCGCUAGCCACCUCCAUCCACUGGCACAUAUCACUCGCGGGUCUCUAAAACCCGCCACUGAUGGCUCACAUGUGAACUCUGAAAAAACCAAAAAACGGUUAUGACUAACCACGUACUCGACUUGAGUAUACCGUUACGGUCCAGUUGGGGCCCACAAGAAAGGCUACUACGACUCCAGAAAUCCAUAUGCCAAAUCUUGCGACUCAAGACAAAAAAGUUUAAUUAGAGUAUAUCUCCUCAAUCAUUGUAACCGACUUAAACUCUACCUGAGACCCGGCCUCCUGCAUAUAUAAAAGACCAGGAGGAUGAGCCAAGAGGAUCCCAACCUAGAUAGAAGCCGUCUAGACGCACUCGCCAGAUCGAAUCUGUGUAUCUAGCUCCACGGCACCCUUUGUAAUCGACUCAUCAAUACCAGAUCAGACAAACAGGACGUAAGGGUAUUACCUUCCGAGGGCCUCGAACUUGGGUAAAUCGUGCCCCCUGUGUCCUUAUUAGCCGACGAGAUCGUCAACACAUACACUCGAAAUCUUUCCUAGAUAUAAGUCCACCAAUAUGGACAUUGUCGAAAUCCUAACUUCGUCAGGCGGGUUUUCAAAAACCCGCCACUGUUAGCACCCUAUCAGUGGCCAUGCUAUCAGUGGUGGGUUUGGCGGUUUUUAGAUCCCACCUGAAAGAUCGGUAUGGUCGGUUAGAGGAGGGGGUGAAUAGGCGACUAACAAAUUUUAACGUUUUCCUUUUCUUUUCUUGAAAGAUACAAACACUUAAUCCUAAGGCUCACUAGAUUUUCUAAAGUGAAUGCAACCCUAGUAUGAAGUGCAAUAACCGAAACACUGGCCAAAACAAAAGAUAGACAAUGAACCCACGUGUUACUGUCUUGUUAGAUAUUUUGACAGUUUAAGGAGGCUCUCCUAGCAACUGGAACAUCCUACUAUCUGCUAUGAGUAGCAUAACAUGCUAAUCGAUGCAAAAUUUGAUACUCUAUAGCAUUCCAAACAACCGGUGAUAUUUGUAUUUCCAACAUCAAAAGCAAAUGUUACACCUACAGAAUUGUGCUGCUAUUCCGGGUGACCAUUUAUAUCUGAUCAAGGCUAAAAUUGAAGGACAUCUGGAACCACAAGUCAGUGUAAAUGUGUGAACUGGCUUGCAUGUGAUUCCAAUAUUAAUUGAAGAUACAGUACAAAGCAGACAGAAAACCAUUAUUAGGAAGUUUGGAAAUUGGAUAAAUUCCAAUCAACAGAUCAUUGUCAAACAAAAAGUCAAUAAUGGAUAAAUGUAUACCUCGUCCACGGCCCCACUCUUUAUCUUAGACUGCAUUAUGCACCAUUUCUUGAAAUGCGCACCUGGAAGCGCAGAGUGGCCACCACAUUCAUCAAAUUGCAAAAAAGAAAAUAGAAAAAAAAACAUUUCCAGUUUUGUUCGAGAAUAGAAAUCGCAAGAUAACAAAAGAAGAGAACACAAACUACAGAGAUAAGAAGGAAAAACCAACCCGCACUUAUUUUAAGAUUGCACGAACUAGAAUUGAUAGUUUUCACAGACCAUCUACAGAAUGUAUCUAGAAAUUGGCUCAUCAGAAAAAACACGGAAAAAAGAAUAAAUAAGAUGAGAUUCGUCCUCCCCCUACAUAUUUAAUUUCUUCUCCUAUACAAAAACUAGCAAGACCCACUCCAUUGGUAAUCCCAUCAAUGACACCCUUAUCGAAAAACUCCGUUAGUUCGGUUAAUCCUCUUAUACCCAAGGUAAAGAGCCUACUAUAGAAAAUAUCUAUAUAACCACGAUUAUAUGACCAACUGUAUAUCUUUUUUUUUACUUGAUAAAAAAAGUUCUUUUUUGGAC
rnacentral:lncRNA from 1 species